CUGUUAUCUGGAUGGGAAAGAAACAAGAGUCUGUUGAGGAUGUUCCUUGUGGUAACACUGUUGCUAUGGUUGGUCUGGAUCAGUUCAUCACGAAGAAUGCUACACUCACCAAUGAGAAGGAGGUUGAUGCAUGCCCAAUCAGAGCAAUGAAGUUCUCUGUCUCCCCUGUUGUGCGCGUUGCUGUUCAGUGCAAGGUUGCCUCUGACCUACCCAAGCUCGUUGAAGGUUUGAAGCGUCUGGCAAAGUCUGAUCCUAUGGUCCUCUGUACAAUUGAAGAAUCUGGUGAGCAUAUUAUUGCUGGAGCUGGUGAGCUUCACCUUGAGAUUUGCCUGAAGGAUCUGCAGGAAGACUUCAUGGGUGGUGCUGAAAUUAUUGUUUCUCCUCCUGUUGUCUCUUUCCGUGAAACUGUUCUUGAGAAAUCCUGCCGAACAGUCAUGAGCAAGUCCCCCAACAAGCACAACCGUCUUUACAUGGAAGCCCGUCCCUUGGAAGAGGGUCUCCCUGAGGCUAUUGAUGAGGGCCGCAUUGGUCCACGUGAUGAUCCCAAGGUUCGCUCCAAGAUCCUCUCUGAGGAGUUUGGUUGGGACAAGGAUCUUGCCAAGAAGAUUUGGUGCUUUGGACCUGAGACCACUGGCCCGAACAUGGUUGUUGAUAUGUGUAAGGGAGUGCAGUACCUCAAUGAAAUCAAGGAUUCUGUUGUGGCUGGCUUCCAGUGGGCCUCAAAGGAGGGUGCACUGGCUGAGGAGAACAUGCGUGGCAUCUGCUUUGAGGUCUGUGAUGUUGUUCUUCAUGCUGAUGCAAUUCACAGGGGUGGUGGCCAGGUCAUUCCAACUGCCAGGAGGGUUAUUUAUGCUUCUCAGCUCACUGCCAAGCCAAGGCUGCUCGAGCCAGUUUACCUUGUGGAGAUCCAGGCCCCAGAAAAUGCACUUGGUGGUAUCUAUGGUGUUCUGAACCAGAAGAGAGGGCACGUGUUUGAGGAGAUGCAGAGGCCUGGUACCCCGCUCUACAACAUCAAGGCUUACCUCCCUGUCAUCGAGUCCUUUGGGUUCUCCAGCCAACUGAGGGCUGCAACCUCUGGCCAGGCGUUCCCUCAGUGUGUGUUUGACCACUGGGACAUGAUGGGCUCUGAUCCUCUGGAGGCCGGCUCCCAGGCUGCUCAGCUGGUGUUGGAUAUCCGCAAGAGGAAGGGUCUCAAGGAGCAGAUGACCCCUCUUUCUGAGUUUGAGGACAAGCUCUAAAUUUUGGUGGUUUGUGCUGCUGUUACCCAUGCUGGUUUCAUGGCCAAUUCGUCUACUGUAACUGGAACUACUUUCAUGUUUCAUUUCCUUUAGUUGUCAGAUGCAUCUGUUUUUGAACAUCAUUGGCCAUAUGGCAUUGUGCUGCUAAGACUGUAUUUUGUUAUCCGGUUGUGAUGUAACAGAUGAAAUAGAGUUCAUAUCUGUGGUUUAAGUGGUAGUAUUUGCGGUAUAAUGCUUGUUUCUACUGCCUUCUGAAAGCCUUUCUUUUGCCUAACGGUAGAGCGGAUUAACUAAGGGUGUUGUAUCAUUUGAUUCAUUUGAUCCUUCAUCAAGGAUGAAGCCAUCUCCUCAUGGGAACACAUUAUUCUACUAUUAGAAGCGAAGAUGUAACAAAUUAGUUGAAAGAGGAGCGUUGAAAGAGGAGCGAACCAUACUUUACUAUAUGGUAAGUAGCAAAUUAGUUACAAGUAGCAAAUUAGUUGAACUUUAGGAUCAUGCACGUUGAACCUUGUUAUCUAGGAUCAUCCAUGGAUCAUGCACGUUGAACCUUGCUAACUAGGAUCAUGCACGUUGACCCUUGUUAUCUAGGAUCAUCCAUGGAUCAUACACGUUGAACUUUGCUAUCUAGGAUUAUCCAUGUAUGCAUCAUGUAGUGCAUCUGUGCAUGCAAUAUUCUGUUAUCUAGGAUCAUCCAUGGAUCAUACACGUUGAACUUUGCUAUCUAGGAUUAUCCAUGUAUACAUCAUGUAGUGCAUCUGUGCAUGCAAUAUUCUGCCCUUAGCUUGGUUUUACUGCCGAUAGCUAUAUAGUGCAUUUAAAUGCUUUUCUUUUGCCCACAGCCCCAGAGGUAGAGAGGACUAACUGUUUCUGUUGCUUUUUUUUUUUACGGUCUACGGGAGAGAGUGUGUGUGUGUGUUGGGGGUGGGAGCGCCCCCACCUGAUUUUCAUUUCAUUGAGGGUCUGUUUCAGGCCAAACGCUGUGUAGAUCAAAAGGAGAUAGAGAGAGGCAGUGUACAUCUGGUUUUGUGAUUGUUUUACAUCGAAGCAAAGACAGUGCACCAGGAGUCGGUUAUCACGCGAUCCUCUAUGCGAAACCGCUCGCGCCAAAGUCGGGCUUCGUCUCGGCAUGCCGACCAGAAGCGUUGUUGAGAUGGAGCGCAGCGCUGGAACACUGGGUCAUUCCGGUGCUUCCAUAACACCCACGGCAGAAGGAGUUUUUUCUUGCUUUGCCUUUAGCUUGGCUUUAAUCCUGUUAGCUAUGCCUAUGUAGAGCAUUUGGUCCUUCGAAUUUUAAAUCGAUGUUGAUUUUGAUUGCAUGCCGUCAUUUUGGGUUGGUUCCAACUAUGUUUUUAAUAUCAGUCGUUCUGAAGGUUACUCUGUUGACACUUGAUUGCAUAACCGUUUGCUAGUUUUGCGUGCAUCCGCGUGCUGGUUCGUCUCAUCAAGAACUAGCCGUUGCUCAAAACUCUGGCUUUCAGGCAUGGCCGCAACAGCCUGGAGGAUGUGUUGCUGUUCUGUAGCUGUAGUGUGCGUCUGUGCUAGUGGAUGCAGGGAGCCAGCGACCUAAAAGGAAUCGUGUAUUAGUGGAUGCAGGACAUCGGCCGUGGCGGCCUGGGGGAGACGACCACGCUCGACAUGAACGGCAGUAAGUUCAAUGGCACGAUCCCGGCGUCGCUUACCGGCCUAUGGAGCCUCCAGUAUCUAGAUGUGAGCGGCAACCGCUUCACCGGCACCAUCCCAGCGUUGCUAUCUGGACUCCGGAACCUCCAGCUUCUCGGCCUGAAUGACAACCUCUUCACCGGCACCAUCCCGGCGGACCUCGGCGAGCUGGCGAGCCUUCACAUGCUGUAUCUGGCAAACAACCAGUUCGAUGCAGGCCAGCUGCCGUCGUCGUUCAAGAACCUGACCAACCUGGUCAGCCUCUGGGCGUCGCAGUGCAACCUCGUCGGAGAGUUCCCGAACUUUCUUUGGAGCCUGAAGGAGCUGCAACUAUUGAAUCUGUACACGAACAACCUCACCGGCAACUUGGUGGUUGAUGGCCUUGUUGCGAGGAACUUGACAGUAAUCGACGUCUCGGAGAACAAGAUCACUGGAGUUAUCCCGAGUGUUUGGGAGCUUGGAGAACCUCAGAGACUUGAACUUCUUCAUGAACAACUUCUCCAGCGAGAUACCAGCCAGCAUCGGCCGGUUGCCCUCACUGACGAGGUUGAGGCUCCACACCAACAUGCUUAACGGCACGCUCCCACCGGAGCUCGGAAAGCAAUCGCCGGGCUUGAAUUAUGUUGAGGUUGAUUACAAUGAGCUCACCGCCGAGAUCCCGGAAGGGCUGUGCACUGGAGACAACCUCCAGCACCUCACCGCCAAGAGCAACCAAUUGAACGGCUCCAUCCCAGCAGGCCUUGCCAACUGCGCCACUCUUGGAACCCUGUCGCUGGACAACAACCAACUCUCUGGCGACGUACCAGAGGCUCUGUGGACGGCGACGAAGCUUUACCAGAGGCUCUUCCGGCCACGGUGCAUCUCAACCUUUCGACGAUACUCAUAGGGAACAACCAAUUUGGUGGCAACAUUCCGGCUGCACUAGCUGCGCUCCAGGUGUUCACCGCCGAGAACAACCGGUUUUCUGGUGCGAUACCGGCGAGUCUUGGCGACGGCAUGCCGCUGCUGCAAAGACUGAACUUAUCCGGUAACCAACUGUCCGACGGGAUCCCCAGAAGCGUUGCUAAGCUAAGCCAGCUGACGGAAAUGGACCUGAGCAGGAAUCAGCUCACCGGAGGCAUACCGGUAGAGCUCGGCGCCAUGCCGGUGUUAAGUGUCCUUAACCUGUCGUCGAACAAGCUCUCCGGCAACGUGCCGCAGGCGCUUGCGAAGCCGACACUCACCGCCCUAACCUGUCCUCGAACCAUCAGACCGGCCAGGUCCCGGCCGGGUUCGCCACCGCGGUCUACGACACCAGCUUCCUCAACAACCCCGGCCUCUGCACCGCCGCUUGGGGACCUGGCUACCUCACGGGCGUACGCUCCUGCGCCGGUGGAUCACAAGACGGCGGUUCCUCCGGAGGCGUGUCGCACGCCCUGCGCAGGGGAACCUCGCCGUGGCGUUCGCCUUCUUCGUCGUCCGCGACAUCAAGAAACGGCGGCGCGUCGCGGAGCAAGACAACUGGAAGAUCACGCCUUUCGUCAAAGAUCUGGGAUUCGGUGAGGCACCCAUACUCCGGGGGCUGACGGAGGAGAACCUCGUCGGGCGCGGGGGAUCGGGGCGCGUGUACCGCGUCGCCUACACCAACCGGCUUAACGGCCGAGCCGGCGCGGUGGCCGUAAAGCAAAUACGGACCGCCGGGAAGCUCGACCAGAAGCUGGAACGCGAAUUCGCGUCAGAGGCUGGCAUCAUCGGCAACCUCCGGCACAACAACAUCGUCAAGCUCUUGUGUUGCCGCUCCAGCGCCGAGUCCAAGCUCCUCGUGUACGACUAUGGACAACGGCAUCCUGGACAGGUGGCUCCACGGCGACGCCCUCGUCGCCGGCGGGCGCCCCAUGGCGAGGGCGCGGUCCGCGCGGCGCGAGCCGCUGGACUGGCCGGCGAGGCUCAGGGUGGCCGUCGACGCCGCGCAGGGGCUGUGCUACAUGCACCACGAGUACGAGCCGCCCAUCGUCCACCGCGACGUCAAGACGAGCAACAUCCUGCUGGACUCGGAGUUCCGGGCCAAGAUCGCCGACUUCGGGCUGGCCACAGGAUGCUGCUGCAGGCCGGGGCGCCGGAAACGAUGUCCGCCGUCGCUGGCUCGUUCGGCUACAUGGCUCCUGGUAAGGAUUCGAACUUGCUGCUUUCAGUGAAUUUCUGUCCCAUUUCUACAAAUGCCACGUGUUCUCGUGUUGCCGGACCUUAGAUUGGGCCUUUUGAUGCUUAUCUGCAGAGUGUGCUUACACCAAGAAGGUGAACGAGAAGGUAGACAGCUUCGGUGUCAUUCUCCUGGAGCUCACCACCGGAAAGGAGGCCAACAACGGCGGCGAGCACGGCUGCCUGGCGGACUGGGCACGGCGCCACUACCAAUCAGGAGGGAGCAUCGCCGACGCCACAGACAAGAGCAUCAGAUACGACGGGUACUCUGACGAGAUCCAGGUUGUCUUCAGGCUCGGCGUGCUCUGCACCGCCGAUAUGCCGUCGUCGCGGCCAACCAUGAACGACGUGCUGCAGAUCUUGGUCAAGUGCAGCGAGCAGACGUACCACAAGGGCAAGACGGAGCGUGGCCCAGAGUAUGAGGUGGCUCUUCUACCCAAACGCGGCAGUCGCCGGAAACAGCUUUCAAACGGCUCGGGGAUUUACAUCGAAGAGAAGAUGACAGCAUUGUCUGAAGAAAGGAACUGACCACUGCAUAUGCCAGUAAGCAGCUUGUGACAUCGUCAGUGAACUGCUUGCUAUAGUGAUACUUCACAUUUUAGCAGAGUACAGCGGAGAAUUAUGCCUCUAAUCUUUUUUUUUCUGAGGAGCUAAGUAUCUUUAUAUUAAAAAGAGAAUAUAAAUAGAAAAAAUCAGUCCAUUGGAAGCAACCACUCUAGCUCACCUAGGAGAAUAGAGAGAUUGCAUAAACAAGCGAAGAAAAAACCGUCACCAGACCUUGACCCUGCACGGCUGGACUAGGGACAUGCAUAGUAUAGAGCAGGGCUUGUGGUUAGCCAAACCGUUCUGUGUAUUGAUACUGCAAAUCUGUAUUAAAUCACACACACAUUAUACGUUCCGACAGAAGAACUAGCAAACAUUACGAUUAUACUCCCUCCGUUCUUAAAUAUAUAACGCUAUUGACUUUUUCAUUUGUUUGACUAUUCAUCUUUUCUACAAAUAUUUUUGCAAAUAGAUAAAUCUACGAGUUAAAUCUAAAGUACAUUUCACAAUAGUCAUAAUGAUACACAUUUUACUUUAGUUAACUAACUCAUUCAAUAGAUAUUGAUGGUCAAAGUUGGAGUAAAAAGCCAACAGCAUCAUAUAUUUAAGAAUGGAGGGAGUAAUUUAUUUCUGAAAUAAAGGCAGGAGAUGGAGCUCUGCUUAUCCAUUCAGAAAUUAGUACGAUUGAAUGAUUUUGUCUCCUUCCAGUUUUUAUUGUAAAACACAGAAUAUUACACGGAUAGGCACUGAUUGUUAUCCGGAAGAAAAUGAAUUUUUAUAUUUCAAAAGAAAAGGCCCAAUUUGCACCCUCUAGCUAGCACGAUAAUCCAAUUUUCAGCUAAACUGACCAUGGGCCGGCCCAAAGGCACAGGAAUUUGGCCCGGUCUAGGCAUGGCGGCCGUCGUGCUCGUGCUAACCCGACCCACACCAUGGGCCGUGCUUGGGCCGUUGCCUCAGCCCACGUACUGGUCCGGCACGGCCUGCCCAUUUGGCCCGUCGGGAUUAAGUGGGCGGCCCAUCCUAUUAAGGCCCACUCGACCGCAUAUAAAACCCCCCACCCCCAAACGGCCAAACCCUACCUUCCUCUUCGUGUCCCGCGCCCUUCGCCGCCGUCACCUCCCCCGCGCCCUUCGCCGCCUCUCGCGCCCGCCGGCCGCUCACGCCCUCCGCCGCUUCCCCCCGCCGCCUCCCUCACGCCCUCCGCCGCAUCCUCCCACCGCCUCCCUCGUGCCCUCCGCCACCUCCCGCGCCCGCCGGCCUCUCGCUCCCCUGCCACCUCCCCCGCGGCCCUCUGCCGCCUCCUACACCCGCCGGUCCCUUGCCGCAAUUGGGGAAGAUGGUGGCCUGCACGGCGGCGCGCGCAAACGUCCUGUCGUCCCUCGGCGGUGGGAGCUGCGGCACGAGUGGGCGCCUGGGCAGAUCCGGGAAAGGUCUAUGGGCGCCCUGACGACGAGGUGGUCGAAGUCAUCGGGGCUAUCGAACUCGACGACGACAGGCGCUACGGGCGUAUGAGCAGAGGAAGGGUGAAUUCUGUGCCGCAGGCUGGCACGAGCACGGUGAGGCCGUUAAGGCCUGCCAGGCCAGCGUGCCAGCACGGCCCACCUAAGAAGGCUGCGGGUCAUGCCUGGACCGCUCCUUCGGCACAUGGGCCGGCACGGCCUGGCACUAUUACCGUGCAAGCCUAACCGUGCCGGGCCUAACCGUGCCAGGCCAAAUCGUGCUCGUGCCAGGCCGGGUUGGGCUACCUGUUUGGCCAUCUAUACAUCCAACGGUUGAAACCAGAUAAAUUUUAUCCUUUAGCUGGUUUCAAAGAUGUUUUUUUGUUUUAUUAGACAUUUAAAAAAAAUCUGAUUUAAUCUUGUUGGGGGGAAAUAUUAACGAUCCCCUAAAUACCACUUAAAGGAGCAGACGCGAAGGCCCGGGCCCACCUAAGCAUAAUCAAAACUCCGCCUCGCCCGACCGCGGCCUCAGGGUCAGGAACGCCCGACCCCCCUCCACGAGGUUUCCGCCUCGUCCGACUGCGGCCCCAGGGUCGAAGGCGCCCGAUCCCUCGCCACAAGGUUCCGCCUCGUCCGACCCCAAGCGCAGGGGUCGGGCUCGCUGGGGCCCCCAGGGCAGGCAUCCCCCUCGGAUGUGGACCAGGUGGGCAAGAUAAACAAAUCUUGCGGGUCCCCCCCCCCAUCGGCCUCGUCAUAAAUGCGCUGCGGGCCUGGCAGAGGGAGGAAUGACCACGCUCCUCACACAACCCGCCGCAAGUACCCAUGCACGACCAUACUGUACAAGCUACAGCGCUGGCGGCUCACUCCCAUUCGCCGCAGGGUACUCAUGGCCUGCGCCGACCGGAGCGGAGGAGAGACUCGCCUGUCCUCGAGCCCCGCGCACCCUCGGGUCCCGUGCGCCUGGCAUCUAGGAUGUGACGCCCUCUCUCCAGGAGCCAUCAUCAGAAUGGCAGCAUCCACCGUCCUCCCCAACGGACACCGGGAUAACGACGAAACGCCCUCAUCAUAACCCGACGCCUACGGAUGCCGAAGGAGCUAUCUGUAGGGUGCAACGACAGUUGGCGCACGGCCGCCUCCCCCUCCGGCAUGCACGCCGGCGCUCGCCAGGAGCCGGCGGAGGCGUCGGGCGUCUAGGAACUUGUUCCUCCCAUCCUGCCGUAUUUUUUACCGUACUACGUUCACAUUUUACGGUCCUCUUCGCCCGAUCCCAACUGUAACUCUGGCCACUCCCCUUGCGAUAUAAAAGGAGGAACACAGGGCCGGAGGGGGGGAUCGGCUUCUUCCCCCUCAAGCCACAGCAUGCUAGUACGCUCCCUGAGAACAUAGGCUCAAAGAGACUUGGGACCAGUCCCUCUCUCGUCGGUCUGUAACCCCUACUACAGAACCCCGCGUGGGCAAUACGAGCAUCCACGAUACUGGACGUAGGGCUCCCUUUGCUCGAACCAGUCUAAUCCGUGUCUCCCACGCCACCAUCUGAGGCCUUACGCGCAUAAAAGAAAUUUACUAGUCUAAGUCUUGAUCCGCCAAUCUUGACAACGACAGUUGGCGCGCUAGGUAGGGGACCUUUGCGCAUACCCUCCCAGCCUCAGAUGGCCAAUUACGAUAGUAGCUUUGCUCCGGGCUCCCUGAUCCGAUUCGGGAGCCUGGACUUCCUCGCCACCGGGGAAGGGAUCAAGCUGAUCCCUGUCCUCAUCCUGCCCGCUCGCCCGCCUGCCCCCGGCCCCGCCGCCGGGACAGCGGUGAGCGGCCGCUCGCAUACCGGAAGGACCUCGCCAGGGGGACGGCCCUUCGGGCUACGCAAUGCCACGGGGGCCUACGGACGCCUCCUAGCGCGGUCCAUGACCGCGUCGCCCGCGAGCAACGAGCUCGUAGGUGCGACAAGGACGAUCUCCGACACCGGCUCCAGCAGCGGGAGCCCCCACCCCUCGCGUGAGUGCCUCGUGGUCGACGAGCACUCUGAGGGAUCCAACAGCAACGAUGCCGAGGAGAGACAAAGGGCUGCCCCUCGCGCGCCGCGGCUAUGACCGGAGCCUUACCAAGGGCACCAGAGUGCUCUCAGCAACGAGAGGCGCGCGCGGGCGCCCGCCAAGAAGUCGAGCACCCCCACCACGAGGGAGGAGCGCGACAACGGGCGCGAGACGUCCAGCGACGCAUCUGCGCGGAUGAAGAGCGUCCGCAGCUUUUCGCCCGCGCCAGCCAAAACGUCGCAGCCGCGGCGGUGUUGCUCCGACAGCUCCCCGAACCAGCGAUGCCCGAGGAGCGACGGGCACGCCAAGAGAUGCGCGACCUGCUCGAAUGCGCCGCCGUCCAGCAGGCGGAAAGCUCCGCGUCCCGGCGACGCGGGCAGAAUGCCAGCAGGGCGACGCCCGACGCGCCCCCGGAAAGGCGGGGGGAAUCAGUCCAUCUACCCCCUCCUGGGGCGAAUCAGGCCGCGUCCGCCCGACGGACUCCACCACCCGCGGGAGGCGAGGCUCGAUCCGUCCACCAGCGCGUCGGCCUCGUCCGCGACGCCCGCGACACCCUAAACGCGCGGAGACGCUCCCGCGCGGACAGGGAGGACGGGGUAGAUCGAGGCUACCACGUCCACCGUGGCGGGCGCUACGACAGCGGGGAAGACCGCAGCCUGAGCCCCGGUCCGGCUGGGCCCCGGGCCUUCUGUGCGCGCAUCCUGAACGCGCCUUUUCCGCCGCGCUUCAGGCAACCCAUGAGUAUAGCCAAAUACUCAGGGGAGACGAAUCCUGGAGUGUGGCUCAGCGAUUACCGGCUUGCAUGUCAAGCCGGCGGGGCGGAUGAUGACCUGUUUAUCAUCCGCAACCUACCCCUCUUCCUAGCCGACUCAACGCGAGCUUGGCUAGAACAUAUCCCUUCGGGACGAGUUCGCAACUGGAAUGACCUGAAGGAGGUUUUCAUAGGGAACUUCCAGGGCACGUACACACGCCCCGACAAUUCCUGGGACCUCCGGAGCUGUCGUCAGGGGGCGGACGAGUCCCUCCGAGAUUAUAGCCGGCGCUUCUCCAGGAAGCGCACCGAGCUCUCCAACGUCGCGGACGCCGAUGUCAUAGGAGCUUUCCUAGCAGGAACCUCCUGCCGGCCCCUCGUCCACGAGCUGGGGUGCCGAGGCCCGCGAACCACGGAGGAGCUCCUCAAUAUCGCCACUAGUUACGCCUCGGGCGAAGAGGCCGUUGGAGCAAUCUUCGACCGCUCCAAAGGCAAGGCGAAACGGGAGGAGGUUGCUGGCGAAGGCACCUCCAACCGCCAGCAGAAGAAGAAGGGCAAGUUACGGCGCGAGGCCCCCCUCGUGGCCGCAGCUGAGCGCAAGCGAGGGCCGCCGCCCCCCGAGGGCGCUCCCGGCUUCUUCGACAAGUUGCUUGAGGGACCGUGCCCGAACCACGAGUUCCCCGUGAAGCACGCCUACAAAGACUGCAACCUCAUGAAGAGAUACUUCAUGGGCAAUUCGGUGAAAGGCGACCGGAAGCGGAAGCCCGAUGAGGAAAAGAAGGGCGACGAAGAGAAGGAAGACGGCUUCCCCAAGGUGGACGGCUGCUUCAUGAUCUUCGGGGGCUCUGCGGCAUACGACACCAAGCGCCAGUAGAAGCUGGAGCGCCGGGAGGUCUACGCGGCCGAGCCAGCGACUCCGGCCUUCCUGGACUGGUCAGGGCCGGCCAUCACCUUCGACAGGACCGACCACCCUGGACGCGUCCGGCACCCGGGGCGUUACCCUCUCGUCGUCGACCCCAUCGUCGGCACGACGCGCCUCACCAAGGUGCUCAUGGACGGAGGCAGCAGCCUCAACAUCCUCUACGCCGAGACCCUCGACGCUAUGGGGAUCGACCGUUCCCGCCUCCAUCCCAGCAAGGCGCAUUUCCAUGGCGUCGUGCCAGGGAAGCAGGCGAUGCCUCUCGGGCAAAUCGACCUGCGCGUUACGUUCGGGACCCCUUCCAACUACAGGAAGGAGGUCCUCACAUUCGAGGUGGUGGGGUUCCGCGGAACCUACCACGCCAUCUUGGGACGGCCUUGCUACGCAAAGUUCAUGGCUAUCCCCAACUACACCUACCUCAAGCUCAAGCUGCCGGGGCCCAACGGGGUCAUCACCGUCGGCACGACCUUUCAGAAGGCGUACGAGUGCGACGUAGAGUGCUGCGAGUACGCCGCGGCCAUCACCGUCACGAGCGAUUCGGCAGUCCAGCUUGCGGAGGCCACCGAGGACCGGCCCGACUCCAGGCAGCCGAACAUCUCCUUCGAGCCCGCUGAAGGUAUCAAGGAGGUCCCCCUUGAUCCCGGUUGUUCCAACGGAGGAGUCGUGCGGAUCAGCGCGGCCCUAUCCCCCAAAUAGGAAAGCGCGCUCGUUGACUUCCUCCGCGCGAACAGCGACGUCUUCGCGUGGAAGCCAUCGGACAUGCCAGGCAUUCCGAGGGAAGUCGCCGAGCACUCCUUGAACAUCAGGGCCGGUUCCAAGCCAGUAAAGCAAGGAUUGCGCCGUUUCGACGAGGAAAGGCGCAAGGCCAUCGGCGAAGAGCUCCAGAAGCUUCUGGCGGCCGGGUUCAUCAAGGAAGUGCACCACCCCGAGUGGCUAGCUAAUCCUGUCCUUGUACCAAAAAAGAAUGGGAAAUGGAGGAUGUGUGUCGAUUAUAACGGUCUCAACAAAGCGUGUCCAAAGGACCCGUUUCCUUUGCCACGCAUAGAUCAAAUAGUCGACUCAACUGCCGGGUGCGAGACCCUCAGCUUCCUCGACGCAUAUUCCGGCUACCAUCAGAUCGCGAUGAAAGAGGCCGACCAGCUCGCUACCUCCUUCAUCACCCCCUUCGGUCCCUACUGCUACGUUAAGAUGCCAUUCGGCCUCAAAAACGUGGGGGCUACCUUCCAGCGAUGCAUGCUGUAGUGCUUCGGAGACCUCAUUGGGCGGACCGUUGAGGCCUACGUUGACGACAUCGUCGUAAAAUCCCGGAGGGGCGACCAGCUCGUUCCCGUCCUUGAACUAGCCUUCGAGAGGCUGAGGGAUAAGCGUAUUAAGCUCAAUCCCAAGAAAUGUGUGUUCGGAGUCCCAAGGGGCAUGCUGUUAGGCUUCAUCGUCUCCGUGCGCGUCAUCGAAGCAAACCCGGAGAAGAUAGCGGCCAUUAGAGACAUGGGGCCGAUCCGGAACAUAAAGGGAGUUCAGCGCAUCAUGGGAUGCUUGGCAGCUCUAAGCCGCUUCAUCUCGCGCCUCGGCGAGCGAGGGCUUCCUUUCUAUCGGCUCCUGAAGAAGACUGACCGUUUCGAAUGGACCAGCGAGGCCCAGGAGGCACUUGACCGACUCAAGGACCUCCUGACGAAGGCCCCGAUCCUAGUCCCGCCUACCGACGGCGAGUCCCUCCUGCUCUACGUCGCGGCGACCACCCAGGUGGUUAGCGCGGCCUUGGUGGUGGAACGAGAAGAGGAAGGACACGCUCUCAAGGUGCAACGCCCGGUGUAUUUCAUCAGCGAAGUCUUGUCCGAGUCCAAGACACGUUACCCGCAGAUCCAGAAGCUCGUCUACGCCAUCCUUAUCACAAAGAGGAAGCUGCGCCACUACUUCACCUCCCACCCGGUAACAGUCAUUUCGUCAUUCCCGUUAGGCGAAGUAAUCCGGAACCCAAAUGCUACAGGGAGAAUCGCGAAGUGGGCGCUUGAGCUCAUGGACCAGGGUAUCACCUACGUCCCCCGCACCGCCAUCAAGUCCUAGGCACUCGCCGACUUCGUGGCAGAGUGGACGGAGAUUCAAACGCCAUCGGCGCCAGAGAAGCAGGAGUAUUGGACAAUGUACUUCGACGGGUCACUGAUGAGGGCCCGCGCCGGAGCGGGUCUCGUUUUCGUCUCUCCCUUGGGCAUGCGCAUCAGGUACAUGAUCCACCUUCAUUUUCCUGCAUCUAAUAAUGUCGCCGAGUACGAAGCCCUCCUCAACGGACUCCGCAUCGCCAUCGAGCUGGGCAUCCGUCGGCUGGACAUCCGGGGCGAUUCCCAGUUGGUCGUCGAACAAGUCAUGAAGGAGUGGAGCUGCCACGACCCCAAAAUGGCAGCCUACUGCAACGAGGUCCGUAAGCUCGAAGACAAAUUCGACGAGCUAGAGCUCAACCACGUCGCAAGGCGCUUCAACGAAGCCGCCGACGAGCUGGCGAAGGCGGCAUCCGAAUGAAUGCUCGUCCCCGACGGCGUCUUCGUUAGCGACCAGUUGAAGCCCUCAAUCCGUUACCCAGAACUGCAGGGGUCGGCGAAGCACCCCCGGCCCUGGGAUCGGGACCCGAGUCAGGGGAGGUCGGCAGCGCGCCACCUGUCCGAGACCCGAGCACCAGCCCCGAGGGGGUCGACAACGCUUUGCCCAACUCGGCCCCGGGAGCCGAUCCGUCCGACCCCGGGGUCAUGGAAAUCACGGCAGAUUCCGCGGCGGGUGCCGACCCCCCGAUCGAUUGGAGAGCCCCAUACAUCGACUACCUCGUCCGCGACACGCUCCCGGCAGACAAAACGGAGGCCCGUAGGAUCGCGCGCCGCGCCAAAUCCUUCGCCAUCAUCGACCAGGAGCUCUACAAGAAAAGCCACACUGGAAUCCUCCAGCGCUGCAUCUCGAUCGAACAGGGAAAGGCGCUGAUCAAGGAUAUCCACGCCGGAGCCUGUGGUCACCACGCCGCGCCAAGGACCCUCGUUGGUAACGCCUUCCGACAAGGUUUUUACUGGCCGACCGCGGUCGCGGACGCUACCCAGGUAGUCCGCACCUGUGAAGGAUGCCAGUUCUUUGCCCGCCAGACUCACCUGCCCGCGCAGGCGUUGCAGACCAUCCCCAUCACGUGGCCAUUUGCGGUUUGGGGGCUAGAUCUCGUCGGACCCUUCAAGAAGGCACCCGGGGGCUUCACCCAUCUGCUCGUCGCCAUCGACAAGUUCUCCAAAUGGAUCGAGGCAAGACCGGUGGCGCAAAUCAGGUCCGAGCAGGUGGUCCAGUUCUUCACCGACAUCAUCCACCGCUUCGGGAUCCCGAAUUCCAUCAUCACCGACAACGGCACACAGUUCACUGGGAAGAGAUUCCUCCAGUUCUGCGACGACCACCACAUCCGAGUGGAUUGGGCGGCCGUGGCACACCCCCGCACGAACGGGAAAGUCGAGCGAGCCAAUGGCAUGAUACUCCAGGGUCUCAAGCCAUGGAUCUUCGACCGCCUUAAAAAAUUCGACGGACGGUGGGUUGCGGAGCUUCCCGCAGUCCUUUGGAGCCUGAGGACGACCCCCAGCCGGGCGACGGGCUUCACCCCGUUCUUCAUGAUCUACGGGUCAGAGGCCAUUUUGCCCACCGAUCUAGAGUACAGAUCGCCAAGGGUCAAGGCAUACGACGAACAGGGAAACCAGGCAUCAUUCGAGGACGCGCAAGAUCAACUCGAUGAAGCGCGAGACGUAGCUCUACUGCACUCGGCUAAGUACCAGCAGGCCCUACGGCGUUACCACAGCCGCAAGGUGCAAGGCUGAGCCUUCAACGUCGACGACUUGGUGCUCCGCCUCGUCCAAGACAACAGGGGUCGGCACAAGUUGACUCCCCCAUGGGAAGGCCCGUUCAUCGUCGUACAAGUUCUACGGCUGGGCACCUACAAGCUGGCAACUCCCGACGGGCAGGUUUUCAGCAACGCCUGGAACAUAGAACAGCUAAGGUGCUUUUACCCAUAGCUUUUAUUUCCAAGCCCUGCAUAAAACUUGUCUUCAAUUCCGAUAUUUCCUUUAAGCUCAGGGGUAUCCGACCCUGGCCUCGUUCCAGGGCCGCAUACCCCUCGGGGGCUACCAGUUUUGCUCCUCUGCGAAAAAAAAGAAACCCCGAGCCGUCUCGGUUCAGGCCUUUUCCUUUAAGCUCAGGGGUAUCCGACCCUAGCCUCGCUCCAGGAUCGCAUACCCCUCGGGGGCUAUCAGAGGUUCCGACCCCAGCCGCUCGGCCCUAUCUAAAAGAAACAUUUUUUCUUUUCAAACCGAACACUCCCUUUCUAGACCUUUGGGCGCAAAAAAGAGAAGGAUGCGCGAACGGUGCUCAGGCAAGUUUGAUCGGACUGCGAAAAAACCUACGCCCCAGCGGCUACGGCACCUUCGCUCAUCAAAACUUAAUGACGCACCCGACAACGCAUUCUAAACUUUCAAGCCCAAAGGAACAGCAAAGGGGAUCGGGAUCUUUCGCACAACGAAGUCAUAAACAAGCCUGUAUGGCCAUCACAAAAUAAGUUCGAAACUAACAUAAUUACAUUUUGGGCACAAGCCCGGUACAGUUAACUUGACGAGGGGUCGGCAGGAGGGAUGACCUCAUCUUCCAGGAGCUUCGCGAGGGCCUCCGCCGGCGCGGACACCGCUGCAUCAAUCCCGUCCAGCUCAGCUUCGGUGUAAUCAGCGGCGUACCCUUCACUCAUCCCGGCAAAGUUGAUGCCAGAAUAAUGGGAGCCGAAGACCCCGAAGGCUCGCCGCAUGCCGACGUGAAGCGCGUCCAUGGCGAUCUCGCGACGUCGACGGCGUACCCCAAGGACACGAGCCGGCAGAGAGCUCGACCCCUCCUCCGGAACUACGCCAAAGUCGUCACAGACGACGCGGACCGCAUCCCGCAAGGCGCCGUGCUCGCCGUGCUCCGCGUCGAGCAAACCCUUCAGCUUGGCGAUUUCGCCUGCAGGAACCACCCAGAAAAGCCCACCAAGUCAAGAACAGAACACAAAAUGUCACGGGAACGCGGGAACGGAAAAAAAAAGCCUCACCGUCGGCCCAGGCCUUCAACUCGCGCUCCCGGUCGGCUCCUUGAGACACGGCGGACUGGAGUCCCUGCACUUGCGAGCGAAGGCGACCAGUCUCCGCGCUAAGGGCUUCACGCUCCCCCCUCAGCUGUGCAAGCUCCCCGGCAUCACGACGGGCCCUCUCAGCGGCAGCUUGAAGCUCCUCGGCGUCGCGGCGGACCCUCUCAGCGACAGCUUGGAACUCCUCGUGGUCGAGGCGGGCUUUCUCGAUGACGGCUUGGAGCUUGGCCUCCGAUCACCGCGCCUCCUCCAACGCCGCCCCCUCACGCCUUUGCAGGUCCCGAAUGACCCCCUGGGCGGCAGUGACUUGCAGGGACAGGUCCCUGGUGCGCUCCCUCUCCGCGUUGAAGCGCUCCCAGAGACCCUGCUGCAGCCGAAGGAAAUCAGAUUUCCCCCGACUGCCCUCUUGGAGGGCCUGCAAAGCAACGUGCCAUUAGAAAAAAAAAAGCAAAAGGGAGGUGCUGAUCACCAACAGUAGGAGCAACAUACCUGGCUGCCAGGGAGGACGGUGUUACCCAGAACCCCCAACGCCGAAGACAGAGCCGCCUCAACGUGGGCAAGGCCGCCCUGCAUCGCCUGCCACUUGUGCCACUCAGUGGCGUCGUCCAGCGUGAAGAGAUGCCUCGGCGGGUCAUCGCGGGAUGACCAGCGAAGGACAGACCCCCUCCACGCCCUGGGAACGGAGGGAGCCGAGGCCGAGGCAGGGGCCGAUCCUGACGCUGCCGUCAAGGUCGGCACCAUUGCACUAGAAGCCGCCGAGUUUACUGACGGCCCCGGCACCUGCACGCUCGUCGCCGCCGAGGCCGCCGGCGGUAUCCCAGUGGGCCCCUCCGCCUCCGCCGCCGGAGCCACUCCCGCGGGGGUAAUUGGGGCGGAGGCCCCCGCCUCCGUCACCGUUGCCUCCGCCGCCGCGCUUUCGGGGGCAGGCGUUCCCUCCGCCACCGAUCCCGCCGCGGCUGCGGGGGCAUCCGCCCUACCUCCCGUCGCCGCCGUCUCCUCUGCCUCGUCGGCGUCGAAGUCGAUCACCUUCCCGGCCUGAGAACCCGGGGGGAUCGUGCCCUGCGCUGUAGGGGCGACUGGGGGGACCGAAGGCGGAGUAGGGUCCGCUCCCCCUCCCACGGCUGACACCGCCGUCGCUCCGCCGGCCGCCACCACAGGGGCCGCCUCCGCGGAGGGGUCCGCGGCCUCACCAGGGACCCCGCCGCUCGCCGCGGGCGGGACCGCGGUCCGCCCCCCAGAGGAGGUUGACAACCGCAACGCCUUCUUAGGCACCAGCUGCAGGGCAAGGCCACGAGGGGCGGCGCUGCAUAUCGACAAACAGACGUCAGCACAAACGAGCGUGAGAAGAGGAGAGGAACGAGGCGCAAGGAAGGCCAACUUACGUCCUUGAAGCACAAGGGCGGCGCGCGCGCUUCGACUCAGAGCCCGACGCCGACCCCGGGGCAUCUGGCAGCGGCCGCUUGUCGCCACUUCGCUGCUCUCCAGUCGCGGGCACGGCGGUGGAGGCAGUCUCUGCAGAUCUCCGAGGAGCACCCUGAGCGGACUCCUGGGGAGCGCCCCGCGCCGGCUCUGAAGUGGCGGCGGGGGCAGGCUCCGAGGACCCCCGAGGGGCGCUCCGCGCCAGCUUUGGGAAGGAGCCCCGUGUCGACCCCUGGGGGGCACCCUUCACCGACCCCUGGGGAGCGUCCCGCGCCCGCUCCUGGGAGGCACCCCGCGCCGGCCCCUGGGGGGCGUUCCGCGUCGACUCCUGGGGGGCGUCUCGUGCCGGCUCCGAAGCGGCGGCGGGGGCAGGCUCCGAAGACCCCCGAGGGGCGCUCCGUAUCGACCCCUGGGGGGCACCCCUUGCCGACCCCUGGGGAGCGUCCCGCGCUCGCUCUUGGGACACGCCCCGCGUCGGCCCCUGGGGGGCGUCCCGCGUCGUCUCCUGGGGACACGCUGUACUGGCCCCUGGGGCGCAGCCCCAGGGCCUGGUGGAGCCGAAGCCCGGGCGGGCGCCUCCUCCACUUCACCUCCCGCGGCCGUCCGCGGGGGUGCCUCACGAAUGGCGAGGGCGCCCGAUCGGAAGGAGGAAAUCAGCUCCUCCUCAUCAUCAUCUUCCUCAUCUUCAUCCUCUUCAUCAUCGUCGUCAUCAUCGUCGUCGUCGUCAUCGAACACGACCGACCCCCUCCGCCGCCGUUGGAACUCCUUAGCGGCCUUCUUCCUCUUCUUCGCCAUCUCGAUGUCCUUCCGGCGCUUCUGCGCCUCGGCGAGGAGACGGUUGUGCGUCCGCCGCUCAACAUCUUCCGGCACCGGCGGGAGCGAGUGCGCGACCCGGGUUAGCGGACCCUACAAACGCAAAGCAGCUCCACGUCAGAGUGACAAUCGCAAGACACGAAGAAAGGAGGAGGACGCCCCAACUCCUUACCAGAUCUAUGAGCCCGCAUCCGGGCGCAUCGGCGGGUGCCCGGGAAUCGGGUACUCGACGUCCUUGUCCUCCAGCGCCUCCCGAAUCCGUUGCCGGAUCUCGGAAGCGACGAGCGCACCCGUCGCCAAGGCGGUGCCCUCGGUCGGCGCGUCGGGGGUCAUGGCGGCAAGCGGUCGGAUUCAGAGCAUCAGUGGCGCCACCCGUCGGGUGUGGUACGCUCCGAUGACCCCGGCGCCGGUGAGCCCGUCCCGCUUCAGCCGCUCGAUGGCCUGCAGCAGGUCGAAGAACCGCUUCUUGUCCUUCUCCACUGGCCCGUACGCCCACACCUCCGGCGCCGCGUCGAUGGUACGGCCGGUGAAAGCCGGCAGGGGGGAGUUCGGGUAGUUCUUCACAUAGAACCACUGGUUGUGCCACCCCUUGUGGGACGCCGAGGUCUUCAUCGUCAUGUUCUCCUUGGAGCGGGUAUGACGAAGGUGGAUCCCGGCGCACCCGAUCGGCACCGGAGGUGACCGCUGCUGGCUCCCUCGCUUCUCCGUCUUCUGGUACAGGCUCACUGUGAAAAAGUAUUUCCACAGCGAGAAGUGGGGCUCAAUGCCUAGGAAUCCCUCGCACAGGGCGACGAACGCCGCAAUGUGCUGGAUCCCAUUGGGUUUGAGGUGCUGGAGCUCGAGCCCAUAGUAGUGGAGGAGCCCCCGAAAGAAGCGGCUCGAGGGAGAGGCGAACCCCCGCUCAUGGAAGUGAGCGAAGGAGACGAUGUAGCCAGAGAGAGGCUCCGGCACCUGCUCCGGGCCCGACAGCAACCACUCAGCCGCCUCCGUCUUCUCGCAGAGGAGGCCUUUUCGCACCAGGCCCUCGGCGCGCGAGGAGGUGAAAUGGGAGAUCCCCCAGGAACCCAUCGCCGGAGGAGGGAGAUCAACGGAGGUGAGAAGAAAGGGCACGGCUUGGAGCAAAGGAAACGAAGCGGGCACGGACAAACUGAACGCUAGGCUGGAGGGCGGAAAGGCUCGAAUGCAGAAGGCGGGCGGAACCGGCGCGGCGGGCUCCCGUUUUUAUAGGAAAGGUACGGGAGAAGCCAAAUCGACGCCCCGGCCGCCAUAAAUGCGGCGCCAGGUACGCCCCUGCCACGCCCGUUUCCUUUUCGAAAACCGCGCGCACGGCCGGCCGCGAAAACAUCCUAUCCUCCUCGAUUCGCGGGAUGGCGCUUCCCAUAACUCCACCUCCCGGAAGGCACGACGUCCCCCACGUUCGGCCCAGACGUCACGACCGCUCCGUUCUGGCCCAAGGCCCACCGAAAGGUAAGAAAGGGAUACGGGGCUGAAAACGCCCCUACGGCCCAUUACGGUCCAGAGGUUCGAAGGCUGGCCCACCGCGGGAUCGACAGCUGCCUCAGGAUAUCUCCCGAGCAAGGGGUGAGAAGGGACGGGUCCACUAGCGGCCAACACCCAGGCAAGCGAAAGCCAAGGGCGUCCCGACCUCACGUUCGAGUCCCGUCCGGUAUAAAGUUCAUGGUUUUUCCACGGGGAAAGGCAACGAGCCCCCGGAUUCGGCCGAACGGACCCGGGAACUAUAUGAACUGGCCGGCGGGAAAUUGUAGUACGCCACCAGCUUGGCCCGAGCCGGACCCCCCCGAACGGGGACCGGGACUCCACUCGAACCUACCUGUUCGCAGCUCAAAGCGAGCACCACGGUUCGUCCAACUAGGAUAACGUGGCACGGCUCAACCCCUCCGUCCUAGCGAACGGACGCUUGAGGGGCAACGACCAAAAGUCGACCUGGCCUCCCGACCGGUCUCCCGCAACGAGCAGGGGCUCGGGGGCUAGCAUCGCAACCAACGACCAUGCGUAUGGUCACGAUUCCCAGGCUCCCCGGCCAAACCGGGAUGAAGCAAGCGCACCAUAAACAAAAUCCACGGAGAAACGGCGAAAGAAGCCUCCGGAGGAGCACUUUUUGCUCCACCACAGGCUCGGGGGCUACUGUUGGGGGGAAAUAUUAACGAUCCCCUAAAUACCGCUUAAAGGAGCAGACGCGAAGGCCCGGGCCCACCUAAGCAUAAUCAAAACUCCGCCUCGCCCGACCGCGGCCUCAGGGUCAGGAACGCCCGACUCCCCUCCACGAGGUUUCCGCCUCGUCCGACUACGGCCCCAGGGUCGGAGGCGCCCGACCCCUCGCCACAAGGUUCCGCCUCGUCCGACCCCAAGCGCAAGGGUCGGGCUCGCUGGGGCCCCCAGGGCAGGCAUCCCCCUCGGAUGCGGACCAGGUGGGCAAGGUAAACAAAUGCUGCGGGUCCCUCCCCCGUCGGGCUCAUCAUAAAUGCGCCGCAGGCCUGGCAGAGGGAGGAAUGACCGUGCUCCUCACACAACCCGCCGCAAGUACCCAUGCACGACCAUACUCUACAAGCUACAGCGCUGGCGGCUCACUCCCAUUCGCCGCAGGGUACUCAUGGCCUGCGCCGACCGGAGCGGAGGAGAGACUCGCCUGUCCUCGGGCCCCGCGCACCCUCGGGUCCCGUGCGCCUGGCAGCUAGGAUGUGACGCCCUCUCUCCAGGAGCCAUCAUCAGAACGGCAGCAUCCACCGUCCUCCCCAACGGACACCGGGAUAACGACGAAACGCCCUCAUCAUAACCCGACGCCGACGGAUGCCGAAGGAGCUAUCUGUAGGGUGCGACGACAGUUGGCGCACGGCCGCCUCCCCCUCCGGCAUGCACGCCGGCGCUCGCCAGGAGCCGGCGGAGGCGUCGGGCGUCUAGGAACUUGUUCCUCCCAUCCUGCCGUAUUUUUUACCGUACUACGUUCACAUUUUACGGUCCUCUUCGCCCGAUCCCAACUGUAACUCUGGCCACUCCCCUUGCGAUAUAAAAGGAGGAAGACAGGGCCGGAGGGGGGAUCGGCUUCUUCCCCCUCAAGCCACAGCACGCUAGUACGCUCCCUGAGAACAUAGGCACAAAGAGACUUGGGACCAGUCCCUCUCUCGUCGGUCUGUAACCCCUACUACAGAACUCCGCGUGGGUAAUACGAGCAUUCACGAUACUGGACGUAGGGCUCCCUUUGCCCGAACCAGUCUAAUUCGUGUCUCCCACGCCACCAUCUGAGGCCUUACGCGCAUAAAAGAAAUUUACUAGUCUAAGUCUUGAUCCGCCAAUCUUGACAACGACAAAUCUAAAAAUCCAUAACUAAUUAAUUUUAAAUCAUAAAAGUUUGAAACUAUUACCCAUCAUCUUUUUCUAGAAUGUUACCUUUUAUGUUGGUUUUUUUGAGUUAUUUGCAUAUUAUUGUCCCCAUCUCUAGUGUUUUAUUGCUUGUAGUCAAACCUACUAUUUAUUUAUUGUUGUUUUGCAUUGUAUGAUUAUUGGAUGCUAUGCGAUACAAAGAUAAUUGUUCAACAACCAUAUGCAUCAUGAAGAAAUUUCCGGAUACGAUUGAUAUUAGUACAUUAUUAACUUCUUAUCAAGAAAUAUCAAUGAAGUGUUUUAUAUGAAUAUUUUUAAUGCACCUUGAGUUUUUGGAUAACCUUUUUCAUAAAAGUUAAUUAGAUGCAUUCUUAACUAAAUAAGCCAUUUGGUAAUUUUUCAAAAAUGUUUAUUUAGGUAACAGAAAAUUUAUUUAUUUAUUCUGGAAAAAGUUUUUUUUUAACGAAGUUAGCAAGGAAAGCACCUACCUAUUCUUUAAUUGUUAUUUUAGAUCCGUUUAAUUCGCUCCCACGAGAAGUUGAAUAUAGACCUGCAGGAUGUUACUCAGGUGCUCUAACCACUAGACUAGAGUCCCUUUCGCUUCUGAAAAAGGUUUUACAAAAAUCUUUUCCCUAUUAUCUUUUGUUAAGUCUGGGAUGUUGCCGCACGUGGGAAAGAAAGAACGGGAAACAUAGACCGAGACCGCUGCUGCGCCGCCACCAUGCUUCGCCGUUGGAGGGUUAGGGUUCGGGGUUUCGGGUUAUGGGUCAUCGAUGGCGCGGCUAUCUCCGAUGUGGCUGGGAUAUAUGGGAGGUUGACGGUGGCUAGGUAGCAGGCGGUGGUGGCGGGUUGUGUGCGGGAUGGCGGGACACCACCAGUUCCGAUUUGUGGAAGACAAUAGGUGGCCUCUAGAGGCAGCGGGGGAAUCUUGGUGAGCUUCCCGCGCGGGGCUGGGUUAGGGCGGCGAAGGAUGGUGGCGGUGGAUGUGGCAGCGCGAGCCGCCGGAGAUGAUGGAGGAUGGCGGCGCGGGCGCGAGCAAAGGAGGACAGUGCGAUGGUGAUCGAGGGUUGCGACCGGCGACGCCGGAUGCAGUGGCGAGAGCCGUCGGAGCUAGAGGAGGAGGGCAGCGCGGGGGCAUGGGCGUGCGCGCUCCUGGGCUGCCAUCACUGAAGGUGACAUUGGUGAUUUUUGUCACCUUCUGUGAUAUAUAGAUAUAGACAUGCUCUAGAUAGAGGACUCCUUGGAGAGACCCCGAGAAUGGAGAUGGGCAUUUGGAGCUCUUCCAAAAUAAGGAAUCUAGAGGACUUGCUAGAAUGCAUUUUUUUUGACUUGGUCCAUUGGAGUUGUUCUAAGCCAACAACUAUUAGCAUCCUUUUAGAUAACUCUGUUAAUCUGAAAUACAACAGUUUCCUACUUUAUGUAUAAUGAGUGUCAUUGCGUCACUACGUACGAGGUCUACUUUAUGGCGGAUCUGAAGGUGUGUUUGGUUGGGAUGUGGCUUUUGGAAAAGCUACUGUGAGCUGUGGGCUGUGAAAAAGUAGCGGGGAGAAAGCAGCUGUGGGAAAAGCAGAAGACCGUUUGGUUAGAGCAGCUACGAAACUGUAGGUUGUGUAAGAAAUACCUGUAAUGCCCCUAAAGGUCUGCGGGUGUGUUUACAUGCAAAUUGCUCAUAACAAAAUAAUGUGUUCACUAAUUCACAUGUAAAUGACUAUUUUAGAAAGGAAAAAAAAUAAAUUUUAUAUGUUCUUCAUCCAUAUAAGUGAUUGGUCCACAUAAAUAGAACAAUAUCCAUCAAAAGGUUUAUACAAUGAUGUCAUCUCUCAACAUUACUGUCCUCCUCUCGCACUAACCAAAGCAUCAACUAUCCUAGCAUGAAUGAUAUUCAUGGUAUCCUCAUUCUCCAUAUCGUCACUCUCAUCUCCUUGUGUUUGUCUCGUGCCACUUGUAUAUUGUACCAAGUACUCCUACAAAACCGAGUUAGUAAGGUACAUAAUAAUACACGUAUUUCUAACUUGAUGAAGGAAUCAUGUAUACCUUUAGGAGGCACGAGAAAUAUGUCUCAAAGCAUUGUCGAGAAAAUUGAAAGAAAAGAUGAUGAACAAAGGAGGGUCAAUUCUUGUUGCUCUUUGGACUAGAGGAUUGACGAUGAUCAUUGCAGUCCUAACAAUUCUCUUGUUGCAGAACAGAGUAGCAACUUCUGAGUAGCAUAUGAUUCUUACAUCUUCCAGGCGAGGUGGCUAGUGUGCUGGAUGAAGUUGAGGUCCCUUGGCAACCUGGCAAACGCCUCCGUCAUGUCUGCAGGCAAAAUUUCCAAAAAAAACAAGAAGAUUUCAACACCACCAACAAAGCAAGCAUGUAAUCACCUGAUUAAUCAAUCAGCAAACAAUUCACAACUAGCAAUCUGUAGAAAUUAGCACGCCAUUACCGUCCUGGGUGAUGAGCGGGUAGUCGGAUGCGUUGAGGUUGACGAACCAGUCCCAGCGGCGGUGAAGGCGGAGCAGCAACGCGACGGCGUGCAGCGUGGUGGUGAGCAUGGUGGGGCCCCGGUAGGUGACGAGGUUGGGCCUGCCGACGAUCCACACGUUGCCCGCGAUCGCGUACACACCCCACCUGGACAUGAGCUCUGCCAGCCGGCAGUGCUCCUCCCCUGGACCGCAGGUAGUUGUUGGCCGGGUGGUACAGUGCCGCCAGCAGCCGCAUCGUGCGGCCCACUUCCCCUGAGGAUGCCGAGAUAAGGUAUGCGAACGAGAUCGGGUACCGCGGCGCCUCGCCGGCGGCACCGUCGAAGGCGGCCAACGAUGAGAGUGUUGACGUCGGUUUUUGACACGUGUCAGGGUCGACGUCAAGAGGAGAAGAAAGUGGCUGAUGCGGUUAAACAAGAAGCUAUGGCUAGAGAAAUCAGUCAGUAAAGCUAUAGUGUUUCAGCCGAUUAGCUAAUGAGAUAGAUGAAGACUGGCCGAUUGGAAGCUAGAAAAGCUCGGCCGAUAUGGGCCUAAAUGGGCCAAGGUGGUAACAAGAUGAAGAUAGGAUUGGCCCAUAGAGGAUUGGAUGGUGUUCGACUCCGAUACAAGUUGUAUCCGUAUGUAAAUAUUUGUUGCUUUGAAUAAGAAAUAGAAUAUUGAGUCAUAGUCGGUUAGGAAACGAGUUGUAACAGGGUAUAAAUAGGUGCCCCGUGAGGCUGGCAAAAACAUCAACAAACAUCAAUACAAAUCUACUUUUUCAUGCAACUUUACUUUCAUGUCGGCGACUUUGCCAAACCCUUUUCUUUUCACGAGUUCGUGUGAGUUGGCAGGGCUGCAUCAACGUGAUCUCCGAGCAAUUUGUAAGUUCCGCGUUUCGAGUAAUAUAUAAGCUUUAACUUUGGGCGUAUCGCUGUUGUUUUGUUUAGAUUUAUUCACUAGUUAUCGAUAUUUGCUAGAAUUAUAGGUUUUAUUCUCCGGUGGAAAGAUUGUGCCUUUGCCUGUAUUUCUCUUGCACUAAACUCAGGCGAUACCUAUUAUCGGCGGAAUGUGUGGUCGCGUGUAAAGUUGAUGUUGUCAAGUAUAUGUUAUCACUGCCGAUCUUGAAGGGAAGGAUUGGAAAAUGUAUUCUGGCACUCUCAGAAUUCGAUCUCAGGUACGAAUCGGCCAAGGCCGUCAAGGGUCAGGUAAGGCUGAUUUCGUCACCCAACACUGUGGAUCAGAAAUUACUGUCGUUGAGCCGGCUCCAUGGACUCUGUACUUCGAUGGAUAUUCGUGUGGGAUUGGAUCAGGAAUCGACAUAAUUCUUAUAUCGCCUCGGGGGGCAAGUUAUGAGUUCUCUCUGCCGAUUGAGGCUUCCGCUACUAAUAAUCAAGCAGAAAAUCGGGCUGUCUUAAAGGGCAUCCAAUUAUUGAGGGAGGUCAAGGCUGACGUGGUAGAAAUAUUUGGGGAUUCCAUGAUUAUCGUGGAUCAGUUGAUUGCAAAGUGUGAGUGCAAGGAUGAUAUUCUAAGGAUUUAUUAUGAGGAAUGCCUCCGGUUGCUCAAAGAAUUCAAGACCGUAACUAUUGAACAUAUCCCUAGGGAUUACAAUGAGGAAGCCAAUAGACUUGCCCAGCACGCUUCUGGCUACUGGCCGAUUCAUGGCGCUUUCGCUCUAGAGCUGGCGGCCGACAACUGGAGGAAGGAGAUCGCCGAUUAUUUAAAGGAUCCAUCCAAGAAAGUUGAUCGGCAGAUACGCUUCCAAGCCACAAAGUAUGUGUUACUUGAAGAUGAAUUGUUUUAUCGGACGAUUGAUGGAGUGUUUCUCAAGUGCCUUAGCAUUGAGGAAGCAAAGAUUUUGAUGGGUGAGAUUCAUGAAGGUCUAUGUGGGACCCAUCAAUCGGCUUUCAAGAUGAAGUCGAUGAUUAGAAACAAUGGGUAUUACUAGCUGACAGUACUUGAAGAUUGUUUCAAAUAUUAUAAAGGCUGUCAGGAUUGUCAAAAAUUUGGCAACGUGCAACGAGCCCCGGCCUCGGCUAUGAACCCGAUAUUAAAGCUGUGGCCAUUUAGAGGCUGGGUAAUUGAUCUCAUCGGUUAGAUCUAUCUGCCGUCAAGCAAAGGGCAUAAGUUCAUAUUGGUGGCGAUUGACUACUUCACCAAGUGGGUUGAGGCGGUUCCUUUGAAUGUUGUGAUGUCGGCCAACAUGAUCGAAUUCAUGAAGGAGCACAUCAUUUAUCGAUUUGGUAUUCCUCAGACCAUCAUGAUUGAUCAGGGGUCAAUGUUUACCUCAGGGAGUUCGAGGAGUUCACUGCCAGUAUGGGAUUAAGCUGUUGAAUUCUUCUCCGUAUUACGCUCAGGCCAAUGGUGUGACGACCCCGGUUAAAUCUUUCGAGUUAAUCUUAAUACGAGCCCCAAAAUUCCUCUGUCUCAGUUUUUCCCGAGCAGGAGUGCUCCACUCCAGUUCCUGUUCCUGACCCGUGAAGACUCUAACUCACCCCGCCAGUUCCUUUUAAGUCUCAACAACAGUGUCCCUUUCAAUCUUGAACAGAGGAAAGACCGAGACUGACGGAUGGACCCGCAAUCUUUUCCCCGGAUCUCCCGAGGCAUACGCACUCGAGCGGCCUGCACCGCUUCAGAGCUCCCCCGCCGCGUGGCUCAACUUCUCCGACGCCCGCCGCUUCACCCAAUCGCCGGCCGGGACAGGAUAGAUUCUCACGCCCUCCUCCCCAAUCGCAGCGGAAGCCCCUCUGCAACCCUUUCUGCUGCGCCUCGUCUCGCUCGCGCCCUCGCCGGCCGCGCCUUGGUGCUCCGACACCGCUGUGGCAGAGCUUUGCCGCUUGCUGCAUCCAAACUACCUCGCAGCUCACGCCCGUCAUCAUCUCACUGGAUCCCCGACUGCAAGGCCCGAUGCCUUCCGACUUUUCCACCGCCUCUACACAGUCGCGCUCGCCUGCGCAGCCGCAGCCUGCCUAUCUUUUCACCGGUUGCAACCUCGCUUGUAGCGCCGUUCUCCCUGUCACACCCAUCAGAUCCGCCGCAUGACGACGCCCGCCUCCGCCAAACCUCAACUACCGGCAAAACCGCGCCUGCGCCGCCUUGUCUCCCGUGCCCAAUAGCCAAGGACCCUAUCUCCGAAAUCCUGUUCCGCCGCCCAUCGACGCCCAGUCGCCGCCAUGGCAGCGCACUCCAUCCUUUUCUUCCGGUCUUCGUGCUACUCCAACUCCCUCUCUCUUUCGCGCAGCUAUAAAAAGGAAUGCCAGAGCCCUACUGGAGAUCCCUUCACCAUCGUUGCCUCGCCGCCUUGUUCCUGAGCGCCGCCACCUAAGUUCUUGAGGAACUCUCAUCUUCGCUCAACACCCGCCCCUCCCAAUCCACCAAGCCGCCUGCUCCUCCACGCUAUGCUAGAGCUUCCUUGUUGCUCACAAGAAGCUCCGCCGCCGCCGGAGCACCGCCGGACAUAGCCGCCACCAAAGCCUUAGUGCUUAAGACCUUCCGCCCAAGUCUACUCCUUCCCGACCCCAAAGCUUCACCUAUAAACCAAAGGUAAGCUGCCGACCCCUUACCGGUUCGCCCGACCCUACCUGUUCGCCUGACCCUACCUGUUCGCCCGACCCCUCUUUCCAUCUCGCCCGACCCUGUCUGUUAGCCGGCCCUUAUCUUCUUCGCCCGAGGACUCGGCUGUACUCUUUUCCUUGACCCGAGGGUAUCUGUGUAAGAUUUCGGGGACUUCUCUGUAAUAGCUUUGAGGACCCCAAACACAUUAAGGCUUAUGGGUCAGAUCAUAAGUUCUUCCAAUUCGACCCUUGGUCUUGUUCUCUAUCCACUGAAGCUUGAACCCCCACACUCUUUCCGUAGCUUUGCUACAAGUUUCUGGGCUAAGACUUGCGAGUGUUGCUGUUGAAAUAACCGUCUAGACACUAACUCCAGCAUUGCAUUCGUGUAGAGUUUCAUCUUGCUGACGGCGUCUACGAACUACACCCGGUGCCAGAAGACGGAGCUGUAGCUGAGCUACCAGUUCCAGAAGCCGAAGUCGCACCAGCUGAAGACCCGCUUCCCUCCCCUCCACUUGAAGGCAAGUCCCGGAGCAUGAACCCCAAAGUUUCCCAAACUUGCGCAUGCCUUCUUUCUCAUGUUUGUGCAUUUACGUAUAGGAGUUGUUUGCAACCUUAGAUGCAUGGUAUAGUUCCUUGAUCGGAACACUAGUUGUUGAAUCGAGUAGUUGCUAUGCUUAAAUAGGAAGUGGUAAAAGUCGAGUGAUUUCCUGUCACUCGCGAGUUAUAGGAGUUGGUUGUUCUCCUUCUGUUACAACUAUAAGGACGAUGGAUGGGGCAAGGUUUUGGUUAACUCUUUUGCUAGUCGGCUGAUCCCCCCGUCUGUCUAUGGAAUCUGUUAAGGCCCGAUAGUGGUGGUGUUCGUGAUCAAGUGUUUGAAAGUACUAAUCUCAUACCUAGUAUGGGAUGGGGAAGCCUAGUACCUGAUUGAACUAGGGCGUGGCUUAUACCCCUGCUGUCCCUGGAACGAGGUUCCCAUGGUGCAUCAUGUGGGUGCAAGUGCGGUCACAGUACGGUAGAGGCCGGGAUUGUGGAGCAUUGCAUGCCAAGGGAAGUUGGACCUGACACGUGCCUGGGAAUUGAUGGGGACGGCUGACACAGGAAGCGACCCUUGUGGUGCGCGGAUGUCGUGAGAUUAGGUUUGCCAUGCAUGGUUAAGAAACUCGAAGGAUUCGUCUGCCUCUCACAGUUUGAGACUGCUUGAUCGCUAUGCUACACUGAUUAAUGAAAGAGUCUGAUGAUGACAUGGUCUUGAUGAGUAGCUUAUAUACAUAAAGUUGGAUCUAUGUUUGCUUAGAGUAAGAUGCCAACGUAGACUGGUUAAUGAACUUAGAAUUUGAGCUAAAACUUGAAAGCAAGGACCUAACGUAGUAGCUUUUGGCAAACAAAACCCCUCAGCCAAAGAGCCUUGCAUGUCUAGACGUGGUGGAGUAGUUUUACCACCGGUCGGUUAAGUCUUGCUGAGCGUAGCAGCUCAACCUUGUUUGUGGCUUUCUUUUCAGGUGAAGUCGCAGCUCCUGAGUUUGCUUCCGUUGGCACUUGGCCGCCCCAGCUCCCUCCGGGUUGGACGGUUGAGUGGGAUCCUUCCUCGGACGGUGAGGAGAGGGAUCAUUGAUGUCCUGAUCGGCCUCAUUAGGGACAUCCGACCCUGGCGCUAGCUUCCGCUAAUUUAGCUUUCCGCUGCUUUUGAAUCUUGUAAAACUCUGAUUUUUGUUUUUAUGUUGAACUAAAUUGUCAAACUUGUUUAACUCAGUGGAUCUGUUGUAUUCUCUGAAACCGCUCACCUUCGUGUGAGUUUCGCUAAUCCGGUCCUGUAAGUGGUUUAAUCGGAGGAAAUCCGACGGCCCUUCGAGUUAACUUGACUAAGGCAUAAGUGUCGCGUGUCAGGCGACUUAACAAUGCUUUAAUCAAGGUAAUCCGAGGUGGUUCCACCACAAAUGGUCAGGCCAAGUCAUCAAAUAAGGGGGUUAUUAAACUGAUUAAAAGGAAGGUCAAAAAACAACCAAGACGGUGGCAUACAACGCCGAAUGAGUCCUUAUGGGCUUAUCGGAUGGCUUGCCGCGGUGCCACCAAGGUGUCCCCUUAUCAGUUAGUAUAUGUGCAUGAAGCAGUAUUACCUUGGGAGUUGAAGACUGGGUCUAGACGUGUGUCACUUCAGAAUCAGUUGUCGGUUGAUGACUAUUCCGCCCUCAUGAGGGGAGAAUUGGAAGAUUUGGCGAAUCAACAGCUAAGGGCUUUGAUCAGCAUUGAGGAAAAUAAGAAAAGAGUCACCAGGUGGUAUGACAAGAAGGUCAAGGUCAAAAGGUUUUCCCAAGGGGAUUUAGUCUGGAAGUUGGUUCUGCUGAUAGUAUGGAAAAUGGUCGCCCACUUGGGAAAGGCCAUAACGGAUUAGCCAAUGUGCUCUAGGCAAUGCAUACAUACUGGAGACUUUUGAGGAAGAAGAAUUUACAAGGGCCUUGAAUGGAAGAUAUUUGAAAAGAUACUACCCUAGUAUAUGUGUAGGCGCUUAGCCGAUGAUGUGGCAUAACGGGCUUUCACGGUCGACGCGUACUGAUUCGUGUUCAUAUAGCCGAUGCAAGGGGCAUCGCCUUAAGAUUGAAAGAGGCGAAAUAGUGUAUAUAUAACUAAACCGAUCAUUAUUCGGUACACCAACUAAAUAUAUGGCCGGCAUGAUACAAGUCGCCCUUAGAUAAAAAGUACCGACACAGUUAUGGGUUACAACGAUUUAACAACGUUUCAUGUGAGCUUUAUUCAUAUCGAUUUCUUUCUGAAGUCGAUCCAAUUCGAUCUGGAGUCGGGCGUUCUUCUCCUCUAGUUCUGCCAUGUCAUCUUCAACAGCAACUUGACAGGGUAACAGAUGGCUUCUUUCGACUGAUUGCCGUGGUUGCCUUCUAGAAGCUUUAGCCUCGAUGUCAUCCACAAUCCUCUUGAUAUUCACGGGGAGGUGAUCUCUGAGUUCCUCACGAUGAGUUUGGAUCAGGUCUUUGUCAGCCUGAGUGAGCGGUUCAUCGGAGUGGAGGAUCUCAAUGGCUCGUUCAAGAUCACGGCUGAGUCGGUUUGGCUACGAGAAGAAUUGAUGAUCAAUUGACAGAGGGAUUGGUCGAGAGAUAGGAGAUUGACUUCGUACCUGAUUGACAGAGGAGGAGGAGGCCAUCUUGGUCGCUCGAUCGAAGAUUUGUAAGCGCGCGCAAGGAAUGGUUGAGUGGGUGUUUUGCGAAUGCCUUCAGAAGGGAUGCGAAGGGUUUGUACUUAUAGAACAGAAUGGCAAUGGACAAAGGUCGGUAAAAGGAGGGCAUUUAAAGAAAGCGACCGUUGAGUCAUAAAAGCUACGUGAGGACUGUUCAGACUUGCAUUUCAGACAAAAACGCCAAAAGUAUCAACGUUACACAAGAUGUUCAAAGGCUGGUUGAGUUCGUUACAACUAUCCGAGGAGAUUGUUUAUGGUCUCAAUCGCUCGCAGGCGAACUUGGUUGGCCACCUCCAACACUCGCCGAUCAUCAUCGGCUGAUCCUAAGACUUCUGGCGCAUUGCGAUGAAGAUGGAUGGCCUCGUGAGUGAGGGAUUGUCUUUCUUGUUUAAAAUCAACGAUGGCGGUUGGAAGAUCUUCAAGUUUCUUUUCUUCGGUAGCGAUAGCCUUUACGACCAGUUCCAUCUCCUUGGUGAGCUCUGCUCUGCGCCAUUUGAGUUGGUCUAUUUCACUGAUGAUGCUUGGAUGAGAAGUCUCAUGGAGACCGAUCUACCGAUGUACGUGUUGUGCACGGUGCUUGUAGGACUCUUCUUCUUGACGCACCAUCUCCAAUUUAGCACGGUCAGCCAUGUGUCGCAAGGCUCUAAACACCGGGACCCGCAUGGUUUCGAUAUAUGCUGCGGGUGUGAGAACCUCUUCUGCGUCUUCUGGGACUUGGCCUUUGAUCUCGUUGAAAAUCCACCGUAUCAGUUUGGCAUCUUCCACCAAUCGACCGAUGUUUUCCUGAAGAAGGGUUCGCAUGUUUUGGAGCUUGGCACGGACAUCUUCUGGUAUUGAGCUCAGAGUUAUUUGGCGUGAUGCAACUUCUUCGUCAUCAGAGACCGCAAUUGCAGAGGAGAAGAGGCUUUUGUUUGGCGUGUCUUACUCCUGCAGGGAUGUGGGAAAGUGUUUUAGCCGAUAAAAGUAAAAAAUCGGCUGGUAGAUAUAGAAGGUUCUUACCUCCUUCAAACAAAUCUCUUCUGCUUGGGUUGGCAGAGUCGUUACUCCCACCUCAGAAGUUUGCGGAGGUAGCUCAUUAGAGGGGGAAGACUUGACAAUGAUCGGCUCUCUAGGCGUAGCUGAUAAUGUGCUUGGACCAGCCUCCUGGAAAAGGAACAAAGGAAUCAUUUUUGAGUAUAAAAUAAUACUGGAUCUAAGUAGAAGUCUCGGUUUUCUUACCUCUCGGACGCGCGCAGCCAACGGUAGCACCAGGGGAAUGACUGACGUAUCUGGAGCGUCCUGUGUCAAGAAUCGUCUGAUUUUAGUUAUCAGAACUGUGGAGACUAAGGGAAGAGCAUGUUCUUUACCUCAAUUUGAAGAUUUGUAGGUAACACAAUUUUAGCUUGAGAAUCGGCCAAUUAAGGAACAGUCUGCUCUAGGAUAGGUUGUACGGCCUGUUGAAAAGAAACAAAUUUAGUAUUGGUGAUACAUAUGAAGAAGUCAGAGCAGAAAGAUUACUCGUGUAGCUUUCACCAAGAGUAACACAAUCGCCGACCCAGCCUCUGAUGCUGCUAGGGGAUCAAUGUCCUGAAUUGCCGACAAUACAUCUGCUUGGAUUGGUGCGGCUGAGGGCUCGACCGAUGUUGCUGCCGAUUGGUGGGUUGUUCGAGUUGUCGUAGAUUCAGUACGAGCUCAUACCCUGCGACUCGUCUUCUUUGUGGUGGAUAUUUUGAGCUUAUGCUUCAAUCGGUUGGUGGCUAUGUCCUCCAUUGAUGGGGCGUGAUAGCCGAUGAGAGGGUACGGUGUGUACGGAUGAUGGGUCUGUAUCAGUCUGCCACUCUAACUGUGCGUUGGAGGCACUUGGCUAUCAACCUGUGCAGGGUAAAAGGAUAAUGAUAAGAAAGUUCUGCAACAUGUGAAAAUUAUUGGUAAGGAAUCGACAAAAAAGUAUUGUUACCUCUGCAUUCGGAUCAGUGUGAGCGGGGUCCAGUUGAUUGCAAUACACUGCAGGGGCCGCACAGGAAAGGUACUGUUUCCACUCGGCCCACCACAAUUUGAAUUGUUGAGUGGAGAAGGGGACCACCAGCCAAGCGCUCAGAUCGAUGGUGUCGGAAUCCGGUGUCAGAUUACACAAUCUGUUGUAUUCCAGUCCUUUUGAAAUCGGUUCUCAAAAUUUCACUCGGCCGACGAAGUGAAUCCGAUUGGUAUUUGUCCCAAGCCAAAUUGCCGAGCUGCUACCGACGGGUUAUAGAACUCAUAUGUUGGAGAGUCCUUGCCAGAGAAGAAAUUUGCCGGUAGAAUCCCAGGUUGAUCAGGGUGUCCAUGAUUCCUUCAUCGAAGGUAUCGGUAGCCUAGUCAAAACAGUCAGGAUUCUAAAAAGUUGGGUUCUCUCUCUGAUAUGGAUACCAAUUCGUCACCUCUUCUUUAAAGCUGUUGUAAAAGCAUCUAAAGUGCUCGGCUAUUCUUGAGGGGGCAAGCUUGCCGCCUGGGAAAGUGGAUACGGCUUCACUAAAGGAAGUACAGCGGCGUCUGGCCAAUGGGUCGGUUUCUGAUUUAACAUUAGGAAAGUCUUGGUCUCAAUCCGCUCCUUGAAGAUUUCGCUCAUAUAUAAGUUGAGCUAGAGAUUGACAAACCACCAAGGACCACCAGGAUUCCUGAUAGGUUCUCCAGAUGAUAGCUUCACGCCGAUGUGAUGCAGCAUGUAAUACACUGACCCUAGUAGAUGCUUUCCCAAAGGGACUGUGGCUCCUCUAACUAGUGCUUCGGCCAAAGCCUGUGUGUUGGAAGUAGGACUGGCUAAUUUACCACAGAAGACAUACCUUUCCUGCCACAUCAUCAAGAAGGUCGUGUGCUCUUUUUCUGUGUUGGGUCCGGUCCUCAUGUUCUUCUCAAUGUAGCCUUUCCAUGUGCUGAUGGCUUUCGUCUCCAGCCGAUGGGUGGGUUUGAUUAAGAAAUCGAAAGGUGAGUCGGUGGAGGAAACAUCGAGGCCAGUCAGCAUCAGAACAUCGGCCAGGGUUGGAGUCAUUGGCCCAUGGUCGAAAAGAAAUGCAUUGAGAGCAUCGGACCAAAAGUAAGAUGCCGCGAUGAGCAGAGAUUCUUUCUUUUCCAUAUGAGAUAGAGAUAAAUUUCUGCAAUGGCCGAUUUUUCGCUCAUCCCAGAAGACUCUGUUGGAAUUUGACAUUCUAAAAAACCAAUCUCUCCAUCCGGGGGUUUGAUUCGGCCAAGACUUGAAAGUGUUCGCCCAAUUGUCUAGUUCCAUGGUCGAUUGCUUAAAAGGGAUCCUGUGAGUUUCUAGUUUAAUCAGAUCGGUUGGGUUAGGAUCUCCCAUAGAGCCAAGAUCGAUGAAUCCAGGGGUGUUGGCCAUGGGAUGGUGAUUCUUUGCCUGAGUUCUUGAGCAAAUGCGAAGAAAGACUAAGAACAGAUCUAAAAUCGCGAAAAGAUGAGGAGAGCCUAGAAGACUUACCUCAGGAACGAAGGUCAUGGUAGCUAUGGGUGCCACCAUUGGAGCUUGGGAGUUGGUGCGGUCGGUGAAGGACGUGAGCAAGUCACUGGAGUGCGCUGGGAUGUGCCUAGAAGUGGCACGAGCAAGGUCGCUGGGGUGUGCCGGGAGAUGAUUCGCUGGAAAGGAAACCCUUUUCGCCCGGAGGAAGAUGAAGCGGCGGAAGAGAUGAGUAUCUGCACGAUGACUCGGGAGAAGGGUAAAUAUGAAAUUUUUACCACGCCGUCUGCGCUAAUUUCGAAAGGAGCGGUUGCCUACAGGUGCUCAGUUCGAAAAAAUGCAAUCAUCAAGGAGAAGAUUUCGGGAGCAAAGAGGGUUUUGCUGCAUUUAUUGUUGCGUCUUUUCUGAAAGAAGGAAUCAGAGUUGAGAAAAUUUCGGAGAAAAAGAUAUGUUUCACUAUGAAGCUGGGAGGCAUGUGUUGAUGCCAGUUUUUAACACGUGUCAGGGUCGGUGUCAAGAGGAGAAGAAAGUGGCCAAUGCGGUUAAACAAGAGGCCAUGGCUAGAGAAAUCGGUCAGUAAAGCUAUAGUGUUCUGACCGAUUAGCUGAUGAGAUAGAUGAAGACUCACCGAUUGGAAGCCAGAACGCUGGAUUUUGACACGUACUUGAAAUCGGUGUCAAAGAAGGAGAAAGGGGGGCCGAUGCGGCGGACUAGAAGCUACAGUUGGGAAUCGGCCGAUUGAAGCUACAAUGUUUCAGCCGAUUGGCGGAAGAAAUUGGUGGAGGCUGGCCGAUUGGGAGUCAAAGCAGUUUGGCCGGUUUGGGCCUAAGGUGGGCCAGGAUGAAUAUUUGCUGAAGAGACAGGCCCGUGGGAAAAUAAUAACCAACUCGAAUACGAGUCGUGUUUGUAACUAUUUGUUGUCGUUUGAAAUUAGAGAUAGAUUCUAGUCGGUUAGGAAAUCAGUUCCAACACGCUAUAACUAGCUACCUCGAGAGGCUUGUAAAAAAAACAACACAUCAAUCAAUACAAAAAAAAUUACUCUUUCCUCGUACUUUACUUUCAAGUCGGCGACUUCGCCAAAACCUUUUUCUUUCACGAGUUCGUACGGAUUGGCAGGGCUGGAUCUACAGGAUCUCCGGCCGAUUCUGUAAGUUCCACUUAUCGAGUAAUACUAAGCUUUAACUUCGGGCGCAUCGCUGUUAUUUUGUUUAGAUUUAUUCACCAGUUAUCGAUAUCAACUAGAGUCAUAGGUUUUACCUGUUAUUUUAGUUUUUAUCACCAAUUAUCCAUCUUGAGGUACGAACUGUCGGUUUUUAUUAUUCUUAUCCUUUAUCAUCACAUAGCCGAUUAGAUCUACUCCAAGUUUUGCUUCUGUAGUGUUGUUUAGGUUGCUGUAAAAGUUUUCCUUAUGAUUGCUACAUGAGUAUCGGCUGUCUUAUAGCCGGUCAUCUCUACGGUAAAUCGGCCGAUUCGCUGAUACGCUCUUCAAGACAGAUCGGAACUCUAGCCGAUCGAAACCCCUAGAAUUUAAUAUUCUUCUUUCCAUGUCAAUCAUUAGGUCAGAUUGACUGGCAUGCCGCGCGAACCGCACUAGGGCAAUAACUCGAACAGGAGCUAAGUAGAUUCUCCUGGGUCGUGUGUCCGACGCUGAGGGUCAUCGGCCAAUUUUCAGCACCAACACACUUUUGGCAUGCCCGGUGGGACCAAACAAGAUCCAACAUGUCGAAGGCUGCUGAGAUCUUUGAAGAUAACGUCCUUGAAGUCAUUGAAGAAAAUCUCAAGGACGAUCAGAAGGAGGAACUGGCGAGGGCUAUAGAAGAAUACAGGAAGACAUGCCUGCAAUCUUUCAUUCGUACCAGAAGCGGGGAGACAGUCAAGAAAGCUCCUCUCUCCACUUCCCGCCAAAUCACCGUCAUCGAGGACUCAGGGAAGAUGUCUGAGAUGAUUCAACAGUCCGUUUAUCAGGCUAUGAUUGACCAAUCCACGGUGAUGACCAACACUGUAUACAACGCCAUCAUCAGCUCCUUGGUUAGCGGCGUAGCUCAGGGGUAUCAGGGACUAGCGUAUGCUCCUCCCAUCGUGGCACCGAUCAGAGGCUUCUUAGCAGCGCCAAACGUGUGUCACUCGACUCCUCAACUAAUGCAGAUGCAACGUGGAGGGUACUACACUUCAAUGCCCCUGGGGUACAAUGGUGCAUCAUUCUAUCAAUCGCAAGAACCGUCUCAUCCUAUGCCAAUUUCAUCCAUACAAUCGCCGCUCUCAAACUCGGCGCCAUGGGGGGUAGCAGCAGCAACCGCCGGUCUGGAUCCGUCAACCAGUUAUGGAAAGUCUCCAGUCCAGGCGUUAUUCCAAUCGGCCGAGGCCGAUAGCCCCGCAAUACCAAACAACCACUUCAGAUAUCGGCAGGAGGACAGGCGCUCUAGAAACACUCAGGGUUGCGGCGUCGAUAAUAUUGUACGAUGAAGUGACAGAUACACUAUGUCAGCAGCCAUCGGCUACUCAGCCGACAACCCAGCCACAAUAUCUGCAGAACACUCCAGUUUAUCACCCGAUCAUGGAACCGCAAAUCCAACAGCACGUACCGAUUCCUCAGCCGGUCGUGCAUCAGCAGCAGGUUGAUUGGACCGCGAAGAUAGCAGAGGUAAUUCAAGAUCAGUUUGUGUUAAAAGCAAAAGUACAAACUUACAUGUACAAGACGCCAUACCCACUUGCCUACGAUCUGUUACCGUUCCCUCAUCGGUACAAAGUCCUUGACUUCACCAAGUUCUCGGGCCUAGACGACACGUUGACUGUCGAGCACGUUAAUAGGUUCAUCAUCCAGUGCAGGGAGGCUGCUACGCAAGAUGCUUUGAUGGUGCGCUUGUUCUCGUCAUCCCUAUCCGGAUCAGCCUUGCAGUGGUUCACUACACUGCCGCCCAACGCCAUCGUUACCUUGGCCGAUUUGGAAAAGCAAUUCCAUAAGUACUUCUAUGCGGGAAUCCACGAGAUGAAACUCUCAGACCUAACUAGCCUCAAGCAAAGAAGCGAUGAGUCGAUGGCCAGCUACAUACAGAGGUUUAGGAAAGUUAGGAACAAGUGCUACACCUUGGUCUGGACUGACACCCAACUAGCCGAUAUCACCUUCCAAGGACUCCUGCCACACAUCAAAGAGAAGUACGCCUCCCAGGAGUUCGAAAGCUUGAGCCAAAUCGUCCAUCGGCUGUCCGGCCAAGAGAUACACCCUUUCGACCAACGAAGGAACUUUCAAAAGAAGGUAGCUUAUGUGGAAGGGUCUGAAUCGGGAGAGAAGGCGGAAAUCGGCCUAGCAGAGUCGGUAAAAGGAAAAAAGCCGAUAUCAUGCCCGUUUGGAAAAAAGGAACCAGAAACAUUCGGCUUUGACACGUCAAAAGCCGACAAAGUCUUCGACUUGCUGCUUCAAGAGGGGCAGAUCAAACUUUCGCCUUACCACACCAUUCCGUCGGCCAAGCAGCUCAAAAAGAUGAAAUACUGCAAAUGGCACAAUACCACAUCCCAAGACAAAAAUGAGUGCAAGAUCUUCCGACAAUAGAUACAAUUAGCCAUUGAGCAAGGAAGACUCAAGUUCGAGGUUCCAGCAAAACCAGUGAAGCCGAUGAAGAUUGAUCAACAUCCCUUCCCCGCCAACAUGGUCAAUGUAGGAAGAAACGCACUCCAAACCAAAGUUUUGAUGUUAGAAUUGGCCAGGAGAAGCGGUGCAGUGGAUCCCAAAAAUCAGGCCACGAUCGGAGAUGUCAAAGGAAAAGGACGGAUGGAAGAAGAAGGUGAAGGAUCAGAAAGGCCACGUCGGCCUGUCACUUCCCAAGACUUACUCAGCAAGUAUCAGCAGCAGCGGGAAGAUUCAAGACGCCACGAAGAGAUGAUGCGCCGACACGAAGAUCACUGGAGGUGCCCGUUUUUCAUCCACUGCUGGGAGAAUAACCUUAGAUUACCGUCGGCUGAUAAUUGCCCUGAGUGCAACGGCCAGUAUCGCAGUGGUCGUCCGUUCAAUAGAUCACGCUCCAAGGAUCGAGGGCUAGAGCCAAUCAGCAGAAAGAGGCACGAGCAAGGAGAUCGGCGCGUUUCAGUGCGUGAUCGGCUGGGGGGUAGAGUUGACCAGCAUAAUCGGCUGGGGGGCAGAACCAGCGCACAUGAUCGGCUGGGGGGUAGAACCAGCGCACAUGAUCGGCUGGAAGAGAUAGCUGACGCCAAAGUCUCAGAUGAGAACCUCCUAGGGUGAGAAUCAGGCUGGGAGCGUGCAAAGCCGCCGAGUAAACCAGUAAACCCCAGAUGGUGCCCAGCCGGUUUGACUAAGUCCUUGAAACGGAGGGUCCAGCGUUUGCACCAAUGGGAGCAGCAAGAAGAAAAACAAAGGUAGGUGAUGGAUAACAAAGGGGACAGGUCUCGAGUAUGGCGUCCUAGAAGAAAAUCCGACGCAGGAGACUAAAAUCAUGAUUCGACAGCUGACUUCAGCAUGAUGUUCAUCUUGCCGAUGGAGUUCAUGCCUCCCGCCGACCGGGACAAUGCGAUAGAGAUAGAGGAGCAAAUGGCACAAUUGGCUCUGGAGCCAAUGACCGCCACUUUUGAGAAACCCGAGGAUUAAAAACGCCAACAUCUCAAGGCCCUGUUCCUCAAAGGACAUGUCAACGGACGACCAGUCACCAAGCUGUUGGUAGAUGGAGGCGCUGCUGUGAACAUCAUGCCCUAUGCUAUGUUCCGCAAAUUGGGCAAAGGUAAAGAAGAUCUAACAAAGACGGAUAUAAUGCUCAAGGAUUUCGAAGGCAACGUAUCUCCGGCCCGAGGGGCACUCUGCGUCGACCUCACCAUCGGGAGUAAGGCCCUACCCACUAUUUUCUUUGUUAUUAAUGGCAAAGGCUCCUACAACAUGUUGCUCGAGCGAGAUUGGAUCCACGCAAACUGCUGCAUCCUGUCUACGAUGCACCAAUGCCUUGUCCAAUGUGUCGGCGACAACAUCGAAGUAGUCAUCGCCGAUUCCACCUAUAGCGUUGCCACGGCCGACGCACAACAGUGGAGCUACGAUCACGUCAAAUUCAAAUAUGGUAGGGUUUGGGACACCAAUUUCCUAAAGGUGUCCGAUUUCGGUCUACAGCCAAUCCAAGCAGUCAGCUCUAAAGAAUCAAGUUAAAAUGGAUCAGUUCAUCUGAGAAGAUGGGAAGCUCGGGCACGGGUUUACGUCGGCCGAUUCAUUGGAGAUGGUGGACCUUGGAGAUGGCAACAAGCCAAAGCCGACGUAUAUUCGUGCUAGGUUAGAACCCGAGUAUAAGCAUGAAUUAAUGAGUCUUUUACGAGAAUUUAAAGAUUGCUUUGCUUGGGAGUAUCAUGAGAUGCCUGGUCUAGACCGGUCCAUCGUCGAACACCGGUUGCCUAUAAAACCAGGGCAUUGGCCGCAUCAGCAACCUGCACGACGUUGUAAUCCUAAAAUUUUACCUGAUAUAAAGGCCGAGAUUACAAGAUUAAUUGAAGCAGGGUUUAUUCGGCAAUGUCGCUAUGCCGAGUGGAUUUCCAAUAUUGUGCCCGUAUACAAGAAAAAUGGAAAGUUACGUGUGUGCAUUGACUUCAGGAAUGUUAAUCAGGCUAUGUCGAUGGAUGGAUAUCCGAUGCCGAUGGCUGAUGUUUUAAUAGACGCCACCGCAGGACACAAAGUCAUCACCUUCAUGGAUGGUAAUGCUGGGUACAAUCAGAUAUUAAUAGUCGAAUAAGAUAUUUCAAAGACGGCUUUCAGAUGCCCAGGCCACCUCGGUUUGUUCGAGUGGGUAGUAAUGAGUUUCGGUUUAAAAAAUGCUGGAGCUACGUACCAACGGGCUAUGAAUUAUAUAUUCCACAAGCUUAUUUGUGUCCUGGUGGAGAUCUACAUUGACGAUGUCGUGGUCAAAUCAAAAGGGUAUCAGGAACACCUGGCCGAUUUGCGAAAAGUGUUGGAAUGCACAAGAAAGCAUGGGUUGAAGAUGAAUCCAAACAAAGUGUGCCUUCGGCGUUUCGGCUGGACAGUUUCUGGGAUUCAUGAUUCACGAGCGAGGCAUCGAGAUCAAGCGAAAAAUUAUAGUUGCUAUCAACAAAGUCGUGGGCCCCCAGAAUAAGACUGAGCUACAGUACUUAAUCAGCAAGGUUAACUUCAUCCGACGGUUCAUAUCUAACUUGUUCGGGCGUAUUCAAGCUUUCACCCCUUUGUUGAAAUUAAAACCCGAUCAAGAAUUUGUAUAGGGUAAGGAAUAGCAGAAAACAUUAGAUGGCAUCAAACAAUACCUAGUCUCGCCACCAGUAUUGGUUCCGCCGCAGGCCAACAAGCCAUUCAAAUUAUACCUAUUGGCUGAUGAACGAGCUAUUGGGUUGGCGCUGGUCCAGGAAUGUGAAGGAAAAUAAAGAGUAAUCUAUUAUGUCAACAGAAGACUCCUGAACGUUGAAACUAGAUAUCCUCCGGUGGAACGGCUGUGCCUUUGUCUAUAUUUUUCAUGCACCAAACUCAGGCACUAUCUGUUAUCGGCAGAGUGCAUAGUCGUUUGCAAAGAUGAUGUGGUCAAGUACAUGUUGUCAUUGCCGAUUUUGAAAGGGAGGAUUGGAAAGUGGAUUCUAGCUCUCUCAGAGUUCGACCUGAGGUACGAAUCGGCCAAAGCUGUCAAGGGGCAAGUAAUGGCCGAUUUCGUGAUCCAGCACUGUGGACCAGAAAUUACUGUCGAACCAGCUCCGUGGACACUAUACUUUGAUGGGUCUGCGUGUGGGGCCGGAUCGGGAAUCGGCAUCAUCCUCAUAUCGUCUCGAGGGGCAAGUUAUGAUUUCUCUCUGCCGUUUGAGGCGUCCGCUACUAAUAAUCAAGCGGAGUAUCGGGUUGUUCUAAAAGGUAUCCAAUUAUUAAGAGAGGUCAAAGCUGACGUGAUGGAAAUUUUUGAGGAUUCCAUGCUCAUUGUAGAUCAAUUAACUGGAAAGUCUGAAUGCAAGGAUGAUAUCUUGAGGAUUUACUACGAAGAUUGCCUCAAGUUAUUGAAGGAGUUCAAGUCUUUGAUUAUUGAGCAUAUUCCCAGGAAUUACAACGAAGAAGCCAAUAGACUUGCCCAACAUCCUUCCGGGUAUCGGCUGUGUUGACGCCAGAUUUUGACACGAGUAAAAUCGGCGUUAGAAGUGGAAGAAAUUAGGAGAUGCGGCGAGAUACAAGGGCAACGAUUGGAAAUCGGCCGAUUGGUGCUACAGUCAAGGAUCGGUUGGUUGGUGCUGCAGUCAAGGAUCGGCCAAUAGAUGCUACAGACGAGGAUCGGCCGAUUGAUCCUUAGAGUUCCGCCUCGCACGACCCCUGGUUUGGGAUCGGACACGCCCGACCCUCCAAGGGAGGAUCUCCGCCUCGCCCGACCCCUGGUUUGGGAUCGGACGCGCCCGACCCUCCAAGGGAGGAUCUCCGCCUCGCCCGACCCCUGAGGUUUGGGAUCGAACGCGCCCGACCCUCCAAAGGAGGAUCUCCGCCUCGUCCGACCUUAGUUCCCAGGGUCGAAAUGAGUCUGAGCCCUCGAUAUGUGGGUCCUGAUCGGUUACCCCCCUUGCCAAAGAGGUGAUCGGCCGAUUAGGAGGUUGGAAUAGUUGGGCCGAUGUGGGCUCAAGAAGGAUUAUGAAGAUGAAGAGGGGGUCAGCCCAUGAAGCGCGUGAAAAUAGUACGAAUCGUACUUGUAAAUAUUCGUUUUCUGUUUAAAUUUAGGGAUAGAGUUCUAGUCGGAUAAGAAGUCGUUUGUACGGGGCUAUAAAUAGCCACCGUUGUAGAUCUGUAAUCAUCAUCAACUCAAUACAACAAACUACUAUUUCCUCGUACUUACUUUCAAGCAGGCGACUUUACCAACACUUUUUCUCCUUUUUCACGAGUUCGUACGGGUUGGCGGGGCUGCAUCAACUUGACCUCCGGCCGAUCUUGUAAGUUCCGUUUAUCGACUAAAUUCUAAGCUUUAACUUCGGGCGCAUCGCUGUCAUUUCGUUUAGAUUUAUUCAUCAGUUAUCGAUAUUUACUAGAAUUCUAGGUUUUACCUGUUGUUCUAGUUUUAUCACCAAUUAUCCAGCUAGGAAUCGGUAAAUUCGGCUUUCUUUAUACUUCUCUGUCUAAUCUAUUUAUUUUAGCCGAUUAGAUCUGUUCCUAGUGUUGCUACUGUAGCGUUGUUUAGAUUACUCUAGCAGUUUUCUUUAUAAACGUUACCUGGUAAUCGGUUGCACUAUAGCCGAUUUCCUUAUUACGGCAAAUCGGCCGAUUCGCUGAUAAGCUUUCUUGAGAUCGGAACCUUAGCUGAUCGCAACCUCUGGGAACUGACACGUUUAUUUCCUUGCCAAUCAACAGUUCAGAUUGGCUGGCUCGCCGCGCGAACCGUACCAGGGCAAUCACCCGAACAGGAGUUAAGCAGAUUCUCCCGGGUCGUGUGUCCGACGCUGGGAAUUCGGUCAGCUGAUUUCUAGUGCCAACACACUUUUGGCACGCCUAGUGGGGCCAAUACAACCGCCACCAUGUCGAAAGCUGCUGAAGUCUCCGAAGAUAACAUCAUCGAAGUGACAGAGGCAGAUCUCAGGGACGACCAGAAGGAAGAACUAGAGAGGCAGACAGCAUACUACCGGAAGACAUGUCUGCAGUCCUUCAGUCGCACCAGGAGCGAGGAGACUAUCAAAAAGGCUCCGUUUCCAACUCCCCGCCAGAUCACAAUCACCGAGGAUUCGGACAAGAUGUCCGAGAUGGUCCAGCAAUCCGUCUAUCAAGCUUUCAUUGAUCAAUCCCCGGUGCUUUCUAAUACGGUAUACAAUGCCGUCAUCAGCUCCUUGGCUAGUGGUGUAUCUCAAGGGUACCAGGGGCCGGCAUAUGUUCCGCUGAUUAUGGCUCCGAGCAAUGCGGCGACAUGAAGAUCACUGGCGAUGCCCGUUCUUCAUCCACUGUUGGGAAAGCAACCUUAGGUUGCCUUCGGCCGAUAAUUGCCCCGAGUGCAACGGCCCGUAUCGUAACAAUCGGCCGUUCAGCAGGUCUCGCUCCAGAGAUGGGAGAUCAGAGCCGAUCAGCAGGAACUGGCGCGACCAAGACAACCGGCGCCCUCCAGUACGUGAUCGGCUGGGGGGCAGAAGUGACCGGUAUGACCGGUCGGAAGGCAGGCGCAAUGAUGGGCCGGGGGCAGAUUUAAUCGACGUGACCGGCCAGAAAAUAGAGUCAGCGUCCACAGACGACUUGAAUAGAUGGCCGAUGCUCGGGUGUUAGAUGAGAACCCUUUAGGACGCGAACUAGAAUGGGAACGCGCCAGGCCACGAACCAAACCGGUGAACCCCAGGUGGUGCCCCGAUGGAUUGACCAAGUCUCAAAAACGAAGAAUCCAACGUCUCCGCCAGUGGGAACAGCAGGAAGAAGAGCAACAGUACACGACGGACGAGAAGAAAGGCAGGUCUUAGGUAUGGCGCCCCAAAAGAAACGACAGAGGAGGCGACAAAUCAGCAGGCGAUGAAUCGGCAGCCGAUAUCGACAUGGUCUUCAUACUGCCGAUGGAAUUCAUGACUCCUGCCGACCAACAGGACAUGUCAGCAAUAGAAGAGUAGAUGGCGCAAUUGGCUUUGGAGCCAAUGACAGCCACAUUCGAGAAGCCCGAAGAAGACAAACGGCAACACCUGAAAGCGUUGUUUCUUAAAGGGCAUGUCAACGGCCGACCCAUCACCAGAUUACUGGUAGACAGAGGGGCUGCAGUCAACAUCAUGCCGUACGCCAUGUUCCGGAAGCUAGGGAAGAGCAAUGAUGACCUGACCAAGACAGACAUGAUGCUCAAGGACUUCGAGGGCAACGUAUCCCCCGCUCACGGCGCUCUCUGCGUCGACCUCACCAUCGGCAGUAAGACCCUUCCUACUACUUUCUUUAUUAUUAAUGGCAAGGGGUCCUACAACAUGCUACUCGGCCGAGACUGGAUACAUGCAAAUUGCUGUAUCCCAUCUACAAUGCAUCAAUGCCUCGUAUAGUGGGUCGGCGACAACAUUGAGGUGGUCACCGCCGAUUCCGCAUACAGCAUCGCGGCAGCCGACACGCAACAGUGGAGCUGCGAAACCGUCAAGUGCAUAUCCGGGAGAGUAUGGGAUACUGACUUCUUGAAGGUGUCCGAUUUUGGCCUACAGCCGAUCCGAGCAGUCGGCUCUGAGGACUCAGAUUAAAUGGAUCAGUUCACCCGAGAAGAUGGGAAGCUGGGACAUGGGUUCACGUCGGCCGAUUCAUUAGAAAUGAUAGACUUAGGCGAUGGCACCAUACCAAGGCCGACAUAUAUUAGUGCAAAUUUAGAUCCGGAAUACAAAUGUAAACUGACAAGUUUGUUAAGAGAACUUAAGGAUUGCUUUGCUUGGGAAUAUCAUGAGAUGCCCGGAUUAGACCGAUCUAUCGUUGAACAUCGGUUACCCAUAAAGCCAGGGUAUCGGCCGUAUCAACAGCCUGCACGGCGGUGCAAUCCUAAAAUCCUACCGGACAUAAAGGCCAAAAUAACGCGGCUAAUCAAAGCAAAAUUUAUUCGGCAAUGCCGUUAUGCCGAAUGGAUCUCCAACAUUGUACCAGUAUAUAAGAAGAACGGAAAGUUACGCGUAUGCGUCGAUUUCAGGAACCUCAAUCAGGCCACACCAAUGGACGGAUACCCCAUGCCGACGGCUGAUGUACUGAUAGAUGCCGCCGCGGGACACAAGGUUAUUAGUUUCAUGGAUGGAAACGCUGGGUACAAUCAGAUACUUAUGGCCGAAGAAGACAUAUCUAAAACGGCCUUCAGAUGCCCGGGUCACCUUGGUUUAUUCGAGUGGGUGGUAAUGACUUUCGGCUUGAAAAAUGUCGGCGCUACGUAUCAGAGAGUCAUGAACUACAUAUUCCACAAACUUAUCGGCAUACUAGUAGAAAUCUACAUCGACGACGUCGUAGUCAAGUCAAAAGGACACCAGGAGCAUCUGGCCGAUUUACGACAGGUGUUGGAAUGCACUAAGAAACAUGGGCUGAAGAUGAACCCGAAUAAGUGUGCCUUCGGCGUAUCCGCCGGACAAUUCUUAGGAUUCAUGGUGCACGAGCGGGGAAUAGAAAUCAAUCAGAAGACUAUAGCGGCCAUCAACAAAAUUGUGGCCCCGCAGAAUAAAACUGAGCUGCAAUCUCUAAUCGACAAGAUGAAUUUCAUCAGGAGGUUCAUAUCUAAUUUGUCUGGGCGAAUCCAAGCCUUCACACCAUUAUUAAAGUUGAAGCCCGACCAGGAGUUCGUAUGGGGGGAAGAGCAACGCAAGGCAUUGGAAGAUAUCAAGCAGUACUUGGUCUCACCACCGGUAUUGGUCCCUCCUCAAACUGGUAAGCCGUUUAAACUAUAUUUAUCAGCCGAUGAACGAGCUAUUGGGUCGGCUCUGGUCCAGGAGUUCGAGGGAAAGGAACGAGUAAUUUAUUAUGUCAGUAGAAGACUUCUGGACGCCGAAACAAGGUAUCCUCCAGUGGAGCGGUUGUGCCUAUGCCUUUACUUCUCAUGUACCAAACUCAGGCACUAUUUGCUAUCAGCGGAAUGUGUGGUCGUAUGCAAGGACGACGUGGUAAAAUACAUGCUGUCACUGCCGAUUUUGAAAGGAUGGAUCGAAAAAUGGAUCUUGGCUUUGUCGGAGUUUGACCUUCGAUAUGAAUCGGCAAAAGCCGUUAAGGGUCAGGUCAUGGCCGAUUUCGUUGCCCAGCACUGCGGGCCAGAGGCUACCUUCGUAGAACCAGUACCUUGGACCUUAUACUUUGAUGGAUCGUCAUGUGGGGCCGGAUCAGGAAUCGGCAUCGUCCUCAUAUCGCCUCGGGGGGCAAGCUAUGAUUUCUCUCUACCGAUAGAAGCAUCCACCACUAACAAUCAAGCAGAGUACUGAGCUGUACUGAAGGGAUUACAAUUGCUAAGGGAAGUCAAAGCUGAUUCCGUCGAAAUUUUUGGGGAUUCCAUGCUUAUCGUGGAUCAGUUAACAGGGAAAUCCGAGUGCAAGGACGAUGUAUUGAGGAUUUAUUACGAAGAUUGCCUCCUGCUUCUGAAAGAAUUCAAGUCGGCAGUUAUCGAGCACAUCCCAAGGAAUCACAACGAGGAUGCCAACAAGCUCGCCCAACACGCAUCUGGGUAUCGGCCGAUUCAAGGCGCCUUGGCUCUAGAGCUCGCGGCCAAUGACUGGCGAAAGGAGAUUGCCGAUUACCUGAAAGAUCCGUCUAAGAAAGUGGAUCGGCGGGUAUGUUUUCAUGCUACCAAAUAUGUGCUACUGGAAGACGACUUGUUCUACCGAACAAUUGAUGGCGUCCUACUCAAGUGUCUAGGAACGGAGGAGGCUAAGACUCUGAUGGGAGAAAUCCAUGAAGGAGUGUGUGGAGCCCACCAAUCGGCACAUAAGAUGAAAUGGAUGAUUAGGAAUAAUGGGUAUUACUGGCCGACGAUCCUCGAAGAUUGCUUCAAAUAUUAUAAAGGAUGUCAGGAUUGUCAGAAAUUCGGGAAUGUCCAACGUGCGCCCGCAUCGGCCAUGAAUCCCAUUAUCAAACCAUGGCCGUUCAGAGGUUGGGGGAUAGACCUCAUCGGCCAAAUUUAUCCUCCGUCAAGCAAAGGGCACAAGUUCAUUCUGGUGGCCACUGAUUAUUUCACCAAGUGGGUGGAGGCAAUUCCGUUAAGGGCCGUGACAUCGGCUGCUAUGGUUGACUUCGUAAGAGACCAUAUCGUCUACCGUUUCGGCAUCCCCCAGACUAUCACGACCGAUCAAGGGACAAUGUUUACAUCAGGAGAAUUCGAGGAGUUCACAGCCGACAUGGGAAUCAAAUUAUUAAACUCCUCUCCGUAUUAUGCCCAAGCUAAUGGCCAGGUCGAAUCUUCCAACAAGGGGAUAAUUAAGUUAAUCAAGAGGAAGAUAGAGGAGCAGCCGAAAAAGUGGCAUCUAUGUCUGACUGAAGCUCUAUGGGCAUACAGGAUGGCUUGCCAUGGGGCCACUAAGAUGUCCCCUUAUCAGUUGGUGUACGGUCACGAGGCAGUACUACCAUGGGAGUUGAGGGCAGGAUCGAGACGCACUUCGCUCCAGGACCAGUUAGCGGCCGACGACUACUCCUCACUCAUGAAAAGGGAACUUGAUGACUUGGCUGGCCAACGAUUGAGAGCUUUGAUAAGCAUCAAAGAAAACAAGAAGAAAGUGGCCAGGUGGUAUGAUAAGAAAGUCAAAGUCAAACAAUUCUCUCCGGGGGACCUGGUAUGGAAGUUAGUGUUGCCGAUCGGGUCGAAAGAUCCUAAAUUCGGUAAGUGGUCCCCUACGUGGGAAGAGCCGUAUAAAAUCGGCAGAUGUGCUCCAGGAAACGCUUAUAUUCUGGAAACAAUCGAAGGAGAGAAGAGUUUACUAGGGCUUUGAACGGAAGAUACUUGAAAAGGUACUACCCUAGUAUAUGGGUCGGAGCAUAAGGAUCGACCAUGAUGAACAACACACAGCCAAUACAAAAGGAUUCGUCUAGAGAAAAAAACGUAAUCGUCCAAAUCGGCCGAUGUAUUUCAUUCGGUACGGACGGUGGGUUACACGGCCGACAAGGUACAAGUUGCCCUUAGAACAAAAAAAAAUUAAUCACGCUUUUUCUUAAGCUCUCUCUCAGCCCGACCUAGUUCUAUCAGAAGACGGAUGUACUCUUCUUUUAUCUCUUUCAUCGAAGCCUCCGCUUCGACUUGACGGGGGAGAGGGUGACUCCGGUCCAUGGCCGGGCGUGAUGUUCCUACUGCUGCAUCUUCAAGGACGAUUUGAUGAGGAAGCGGAUGACUUCUGUCGGCUUGAGGUCGCCGGUGGUCGUUGCUGUCCAGAAAGUCCCAGAUCCAUCGGAUGUCGGCAGGGACGUGCUCUUGGAGUUCGUCGCGAUGAGCUCUGAUUAAAUCCUUAUCUUCUUGCGACAACGGUUCAUCGGAGUGUACAAGUCCGAUGGCUCGUUCGAGUUCGGGGCUAAGGCGCCGUGGCUGCGGAAAGCAACAAUAUACAUAUAGCUGCCGAAAAGGUGAUUCCCUUCAGAAGAGCUAAACUAAGAAAGAGAAUGAAGGCAAAUCUUUUACCUGAUUAACGGAGGAAGAGGUAGAGGAUGGAGAAGACAUGACUGAAAGGCGCACCGACGUGAACAGGUCGAGGAAGAUGAAGCCGAGUUAGAAAGGUACUCUCGGAACGGUCACCUAGGCCGGUGUUUAUAGGAAAGGAAGGCAUGGAUGUUUGGUAAGACGCGUCCCAUCGGGAGUGUGAAAGGUAAUAAAUAAGGGGGCGUCGCGAAGGACGGUCAAAGGGAUCAUUAAAUGUUCGUACAAGAACUGCCAGCACUUUUACAGGUCACCCAGAAGGGCAUCGAUAGCUGCGAUCGCUCGACGCCGGAUCUGAUCGGCAGAGUCCAGGACCCGUUGGUCAUCCUCUGCCGAUCCGGGGACUUCUAACAUAUGGCGGUGGAGUUUGAGGGCCUCGUGAGCCAGAUGCUGCCUCUCUCGUUUCAGAUCGGCAAUGACAGAAGGGAGUUCCUGAAGCCUCUUCUCUUCGGCGUCUAUUGCUUUGGUCACCUGCUCCAUCUCCUUGGCAAGCUCUGCCCUUCGGCGUUUGAGGCGAUCUAUCGUGCCGACGAUCCCCGGGCGAGAGUCUUCCAGAAAGUGAAUCCGUUGAUGCACCUCUUGAGCUUGACGCUUGUACGUGUCUUCUUCUUCACGAGUUUUGGUCAACUUGACGCGAUCGGCCAUGUGGCGCAGGGCCCUAAAGACUGGAAUCCUCAUUGACUCGAUAUAUGCAGCUGGCGCCAAGGCCUCUUCCGCUUCUUCUGGUACUCGCCCGCUGACGUCACCAAAAAGUUGUUGAAUCAGCGAAGCGUCUUCUACCAAUCGGCCGAUGUCCUCUUGAAGAAGGGAUCGGAUGCUUGCGAGUUUGGCACGGACGUCAUCAGGAACGGAGCUCAAAGUGACCUGGCGAGAGGCGACUUCCUCAUCAUCGGAGAGUGCGACCGCAAACGAGAAAAGGCUGUUGUUGGGGGUGUCCUGUUCCUGAAAAAUAGUGAGUCAAGAAGAAGAACAAAUCAGCCGAUGAUGAUAGCAAAUCGGCUGAGUAAGGGUGAGAAAUCUCUUACCUCCUUGAAACGGAUUUCUUCAAACUGCGUUUGGGAGGCUGUUAUCCUCGAUUCAGGGGCUGGUACCAUUGGUUCGUCAGAAGCUGAAGACUCCACCAUGAUUGGUGCUUUGCUCGGGCCAGCUUCCCGAAAGAUGACCAUUGGUUGGUUAGGUGGGGCGCUAAGCGUACCGGUGACCUGUGUCAAAAGAUUGAAUAAGAAUAUUAUCCAAAUACUAGAAAAAUCGGUUGAAGAGUAGUAUACCUCGGCAGACGGAAGCGUGGGCGUGUUGAUGACCGAUUGGGUUGCUGCCGAUUGUUGUGAGUCCACAGAAGUGAUUUGUGUAGUCUAAAAUAAGAUGAGUCAGUAUAGAGAUGGCAAUCGGUAGGAUCAAACAACAAGUUUACCUGCAUGGCCUCCACCAGUAAUGAUGCAGCGGCCGCCCCAGCUUGCGUGACGACUUGAGUAUCUACUUCUCCAGCAGCUGGAAGGGGCAAUGUGGCCGAAGUUUCUGCCGAUGUGAUCGUAGGAGGGUCGGCCGGUUCUGUACGAGCUCGCACUCGGCGACUGGUCUUCUUGGUAACCUUCUUCUGCGCCUGCUUCGAUCGGCCGGCAAUCACAUCCACGGAAGGGGCAUCGUAGCCGAUAAGGGGGAAGAUGGUGUAUAGGUGAUGGUCCUCUAUCGGCCGGCCACUCCGACUGUGUGUUGGGGGAACGCAGUUUUCAGACUGAAGCAACAGCAAGAUGUUAGUGUACAUAUUUAACCGCAUUAAUAAAGGAAUGAAAAUCAGUUAGGGAAAAAAAAUACCUCGGUGUUCGGAUCGAUGUUGGCUGGAUCCAGGAGGUUGCAGUAUGUCGAUGCGGAGGCACAGAAUAGGUACUGUUUUCAUUCGGCCCACCAUAGCUUGAAUGGUUGGACAACAAAGGGGGCUACUAUCCAGUCAUUCAAGUCUAUGGUACUGGAGUCUGGUAUCCGGUCUCGCAGCCGACUAUAGUCAAGACCCUUGGUGAGCUCAUCUCUGAACUUUGCUCGGCCGACGAAGUAUGCCUGAAUCGGCAGUUGACCCAUGCCGAAUUGCCGAGCUGCAACGGAGGGAUUGUAGAAUUCAUAUGUAGGGGCAUCCUUUCCUGAGAAGAAGUUGGCCGGUAAGAUCCCCGGUUUAAUUAGUUCAUCUGUGAGAUCUUCGUCGAAUCAGCCGGUGGUUGAGUCGAAGCAAGAAGGGAGUUCAAAGAUUGGGUCAUCUCUCCAAUAAGGAAACCAGACGGUUGCAUCUUCAUUGAAGCCGUUAUAAAAACACUGGAAGUAUUCGGCCACCUUGGUAGCAGAGUACGAGCAACCAGAGAAGGCCGAUGCCGCUUCGCCGAAAGACAUACACCGGCGUCGGACAGUGAGAUUCUCUGCCGAUUCGACGCUGGGGAAUGUCAUGUGUUCCACUCGCUGCUGAGAGAUCUCGCUCAUGUACAAGUUCAGCCAUAAGUUAAUGAACCACCAGGGUCCACCUGGGUUUCCAAUUGGCUACCCUUGGGAUAGCUUGAUGCCGAUUUGGUGAAGCAUGUGGUAGGCUGCUCCCAGUAAGUGCUUUCCAAGAGGAACAGAAGUCCCUAUUGAUAAUGCUUCGGCCAGAGCUUGGGUAUUGGUAGAUGGACCAGCUGCUCUCCCACAGAAGAAGUGCUUCUCUAGCCACAUCAUCAGGAAGGCCGUGUGCUCUCUGUUGUCGACAGAUCCGGCCCUUUUGUUGCAUCUGAUGAAACCUUUCCACCUGCCGAUUCCCCUUGUGUCCAGCCGAUGUGAUGUUGCGGUUAUAAGGCGGAAAGGGGUGUCCGGGGAAGAAAUAUCCAGGCCGGUCAGGAAGACUACAUCGGCCAAUGUGGGGGUCAUGGGUCCGUGUCCAAACAGGAAUGCGUUGAGAGCAUUGGACCAGAAGUAAGAAGCUGCCACCACUAAUGGCUCAUUCCGUUCCAUUUGGGACAAAGAUAGAUCGAUGCAUUGGCCAAUUUUGAGCUCGUCCCAUUGGACCUUCUUGGAAGCGGUUAUCCGCUGGUACCAUUCCCUCCAACUGGGAGUUUCGUUCGGCCAAGACCUAAAGGUACUCAACCAGUGAUCUAGGUCCAUAGUUGAUUGUUUGAAGGGGAUCCUAUGGGUUUUCCAAAUUGAUUAAGUCGGUUGGAUCUGGAUUUCCCAUGGGUCCAAGACAGAUAAGGCCGAGGUUUUCUGUGAGACGAAUGGUGAUGCGAUGCCUAACCGCCUAAAAAGGAAAAGGGGGUGCGAGGGUAAGAAAUAGAUCUAAAGUACAUGCAUUACUAAUAAGGGAAAGUUUCGGUAAUGACCUCCGGGAUGAAGCUCCUCGUAAUCGGCGGAGUCGCCGGUGCAGCUGCAGACGAUGAAGCUGCCAAUGGGAUCUCGGAUGAAGCUUCAACUUUCGCCAAUGGAGCUCCUUCUUCCGUCGAUGGAGCCGUCGUUAUCGCUACUGGAACCUCCGCCGAAGGCACCAUUUCUGGAGCUUCGCGCAUUGGUGAGGUGCCUGAAGGUGCCGCCAUUGGAAAAGUAGGAGGCAAUGCGAAAGGAAGGAGGCGCUGGAGAAUUGGUGGACUAAGGAAAGUGUUGGAGGAAGAAGAAAGCCUGUGCACUGAAGAAGAUGGACAUGAGCUCGUAAGGAGUACGGGAUGUGCUGAUAUUUAAAGAACGUCUGAGAAGGGGUAAAAGUGGAAUUUUUACCGCGCUGGCGUUUUGAGUUUUUCGGGAGUAGUGGUUGUCGUGGGCACCCGUUUCGAAAAGAUUGCAAUCAUCAGGUUGGAGACCGCGAAAUGGAAGGAUGUUUUCAUUGCGUCUGUUUCGGAUGAGAAGUUGAAAAGAAUUUUGAAGUAAAGACUAUGUUUUACUCCGAAACUGGGAGGCAUGUGUUGACGCCAGAUUUUGACACGAGUAAAAUCGGCGUUAGAAAUGGAAUAAAUUAGGAGAUGCGGCGAGAUACAAGGGCGACGAUUGGAAAUCGGCCGAUUGGUGCUACAGUCAAGGAUCGGUUGGUUGGUGCUGCAGUCAAGGAUCGGCCAAUUGAUGCUACAGAUGAGGAUCGACCGAUUGAUCCUUGGAGUUCCGCCUCGCCCAACCCCUGGUUUGGGAUCGGACGCGCCCGACCCUCCAAGGGAGGAUCUCCGCCUCGCCCGACCCCUGGUUUGGGAUCGGACGCGCCCGACCCUCCAAGGGAGGAUCUCCGCCUCGCCCGACCCCUGAGGUUUGGGAUCGGACGCGCCCGACCCUCCAAAGGAGGAUCUCCGCCUCGUCCGACCUUAGUUCCCAGGGUCGAAAUGAGUCUGAGCCCUCGAUAUGUGGGUCCUGAUCGGUUACCCCCUUGCCAAAGAGGUGAUCGGCCGAUUAGGAGGUUGGAAUAGUUGGGCCGAUGUGGGCUCAAGAAGGAUUAUGAAGAUGAAGAGGGGGUCAGCCCAUGAAGCGCGUGAAAAUAGUACGAAUCGUACUUGUAAAUAUUCGUUUUCUGUUUAAAUUUAGGGAUAGAGUUCUAGUCGGAUAAGAAGUCGUUCGUACGGGGCUAUAAAUAGCCACCGUUGUAGAUCUGUAAUCAUCAUCAACUCAAUACAACAAACUACUAUUUCCUCGUACUUACUUUCAAGCAGGCGACUUUACCAACACUUUUUCUCCUUUUUCACGAGUUCAUACGGGUUGGCGGGGCUGCAUCAACUUGACCUCCGGCCGAUCUUGUAAGUUCCGUUUAUCGACUAAAUUCUAAGCUUUAACUUCGGGCGCAUCGCUGUCGUUUCGUUUAGAUUUAUUCAUCAGUUAUCGAUAUUUACUAGAAUUCUAGGUUUUACCUGUUGUUCUAGUUUUAUCACCAAUUAUCCAGCUAGGAAUCGGUAAAUUCGGCUUUCUUUAUACUUCUCUGUCUAAUCUAUUUAUUUUAGCCGAUUAGAUCUGUUCCUAGUGUUGCUACUGUAGCGUUGUUUAGAUUACUCUAGCAGUUUUCUUUAUAAACGUUACCUGGUAAUCGGUUGCACUAUAGCCGAUUUCCUUAUUACGGCAAAUCGGCCGAUUCGCUGAUAAGCUUUCUUGAGACCGGAACCUUAGCCGAUCGCAACCUCUGGGAACUGACAUGUUUAUUUCCUUGCCAAUCAACAGGUCAGAUUGGCUGGCACGCCGCGCGAACCGCACCAGGGCAAUCACCCGAACAGGAGUUAAGCAGAUUCUCCCGGGUCGUGUGUCCGACGCUGGAAAUUCGGUCAGCUGAUUUCUAGCGCCAACAGGCUCAUUUAUGUCGCCUGACACGCGAAUAUGCACUUUAACCAAGUCAACCUGGUCGACCGUCGGAUUUCAUCCGAUGAACCACUUACACAGGAUCAAGAAGCAUCGCUCAAACGAAGGUGAGUAGCACAGAGGUUACAACAUUCCAUUAUGACAACUUAGUUCCACAAUUUAUUACAUCAGAGUUUCAGAAAUUCAAACAAGUUGCAAGGUUCGAAAAGUCGGAUAAAACAAGCGAAAACUAAACGUCGAUACAGGAUAUCAUGACGAAGUUGAUCAUGACAUCAAAAAUCCCUACCCUCACCGUCCGAGGAGGGAUCCCACUCGAUUGUCCAGCCCGGAGGGAGCUGGGUAGGCCAAGUGGUGCCAGCAACCAAACUAUUGACAUGACCUGAAAAGAUUAAGCCAUAACAAGGCUGAGCAACUAAUACUCAGCAAGACUGACCCGUCGAGUGAAAAGCUUUACCAAGACCUAGACAUGCAAGGCUUUCUGGCUCUGGGAUUACUUUGCCAAAAGCAUCUACAGUCGGUCCUUACUUUCAAUAUUUUAGCUUAAGUUCUACGUUCUUUAACCAGUCUAGAUUAGCAACUUAUACUAAACAAGCAUAAUUUCCAAGUAGUUAAAUAACAAGCAUCAACUUAAUCUCAUAAUCAUGUUUCAUCGUUACUCAGUGCAGAAUAGCGAUCAAGUAGUCCCAAACUGUGAGAGACAGAUGAAUCGAUUCGAAUUUAUUAACCAUGCAUGGCGAACCUAAUCUCACGACAUCCGCGCACCACGAAGGGUCGCUUCAUUUGUCAGCCGUCCCCAUCGAUCCCUUAGGCACGUGUCAGGGCCAAACUGCCUUUGGCGUGCAAUGCUCCACAGUCCCGACCUCUGUCGUACUGUGACCGCCACUGCACCCACAUGAUGCACCAUGGGAACGACGUUCCAAGGACAGCAGGAGUAUAAGCCACGUCCCAGUUCAGUCAGGUACUAGGCUUCCCCAUCCCAGACUAGGUAUGAGAUUAGUACUUUCAAACACUUGAUCACGAACGCUGACACGUUUCAACCUUAGAUCAAUUUCCUUUAGACAGACGGGGAAAACCACCAAGUAUCGAACAUAAGCCCGACCCCGUCCGUCAUCCUUAUAGUUGCAACAUAAAUAAACAUUCAACUCCUAUAACUCGCGAGUGAUAGGAAAUCACUCGACUUUUACUGAAACCUAAUAAGCAUUGCAACUACUCGACUUUAGCAACUAGUAUUCAAACAAGGUACUAAGUUCAUGCAUCUACGGUUUCAAUCAACUCCUACACACGUAAAUGCGCAAACAUAAACAUCAACAUGUUGCAUAAAGUAAAACAGGGAAGUCAUGCACCGGGGCUUGCCGUCAGGAAGAGUUAGCGGGUCCUCGGGGUCUUGAUCCGGCUCAGGCUCGCCUUCCAAGUGGUGAAGCUCCGCAGCGGGGUCUUCCUCCGGUGUCGGGUGGAGCUCGUAGGUUCCAUCGGCGAGAUUUGCUUCUAUACGACAUGCAUAUGCAAAAGUUUAGUUGGACUCACGCGUUUAUUCAACGACACAAGGCUUGGCUUAAGACAAGGAGUUGCAACAGCCACAUUCACUUUGACGAGGUUCAACUUUCAUGCAACUUCAAACGAAUGUGGUCGGUUUAAACUUGAGUUCGAGUUGAAUGGCGAUUGUGUACAUAUAUAGUUUUCUUACACUUAGAGUUGCAUAAAGAGAAUGAAAGGUCGUGUUUGGGUGGUUUGGGUGCAUUAGGAUAGUUACUUACUUCUGAAUGUUUUUAUGUACCUCUUUCAAUUUCCACUUAUUUAUCGUAUUAGAAUUUGUGCUUUCCUUUUAUUCCUUUAGGUUGAUUAAUUAACCAAAAUGACUUCAUAUCCAAACAGCAGCUAAAGGCACUGAUAAAAUUACAACACCUCACUUAAGCCAUAGCUGGGUUACUCUAAAAUUUUGGGGGCCAUUGGAUGACUUAAAAAGGAAUUACAUGCAUUUUAUUAUUAAAGGUAAAAUGAGCUUAACUUUUUCUAUCUUCAAAGUUACUAUGCAACAGAGGGUGAAACUUAACCAGUGUGUUAAGGGUAUGUUACAGGAUCUUUGGCGAAUUUUUCAUAAUUUUUGAAGAAGGUUAACUAUUUACUCUAUUUCCUUUUUAAUUAAACAUGCUUAGCAAGGAAGGUGUUUUUUCUUUCCGAAUUGCACAACAAUUUACAUUUUUCCUGCAAACUUCACAGCAAAACAAAAUUAACCCAACUAGUUUCACAUUUUUUUGAGCUCUGGAUCAAAACGUAUGCAAAAAGGAAGAAUUAAUCUUAGAUUCCCAAAUUAAAGUCAAAACAAUGACUUAAAGUGCUAGACCAGAGCCCUAACCAUUUUUCUGAGCUUCUACACAUAGAAACAAGCAUCACAGAGUUGGUUUUACAUUUUUCCCACUUUUCUUCUAUUUAAUAGGAUUAAAAAGGCCUAAACCAUGAUUAAAAGCAUAUGAUAUUAUUUACAACAGUAACAUGAGCAAACUUAUUUUUCUUAGGAACUAGAUAGAGCAAGGAUUCCAACAAAAGUGGUUUGGUAUUUUUAUGAUUUUUCUACGAUUUACUGGGCAUUUACAAAGUUCAACCAUAUUUCUACCUAUUAUUUAAAAGAAAAGCCGUGGCAAACUUGCAGGUUAGCCCCUGGGUCUAUGGGUUAACUACGCAGAGGUCCCUGAGUUUUGCGCCCAGGCCCCUGGAAAGAAUGGGGAUGAUGCAAUGUAGUCCCCAGGGCGCGCGCGGCGGCGGCGAGGAAAUCCCCGGCGGUUCGUCGGCGGGGAUGGGGCAACAAGUGGUCGGAGGGGUGCGGGGGCUCACCUGAGCUCGGUUUGGUGGGGUUGGGGCGACGGAGAUGGUCGGUAGGGAUCAAAACACGGCGGCGGCGACAGAGCUUGGCUGGUGGCGGUGCAGGCGUCGUUCCGGCGCACUGGCGGCGUCGGGGAGGCCACGGGCUGCUCGGAGACGUGCGCGGAGGGGGGGCGAAGUGGGCGGCGAAGUUGCCGGAGUACGGGGUGGCGCGGAGGGGUGAGCUCCACGGGAGCUUAGCGGCGGCGCUGAGAAGGAAGCAGAGGCGUGGUUGCGAGCGGUGGCAAAGGGUGGCAUUGCCGGUGAGGGGGACCCUUUUAUAGGGCAGCGGUGGAGCGGAGGGUCGAGGUGGGGCUCCGGUGGAGGAAGGAUAAGGCCGGGAGCGGUGCGUGCGCGAGCGAGGCGGCCAUUGGCCAGCGGUGCCAUUGGGCAGGGGAGGCGGAGCUCCGGGUGGUCUCUGGCCGCGAUUGGCCUCGAGCGAUGCGUGUCUGAGGCCUCCGGUCUGUCGGCGGGCGAAGCGGAGGGCCACCGCGGGGGUUGGGCGAGCGGGCGGAGGCGCGGGACGUCGUUGGCGUGGUGGCUUCUCCAGCGGGUGGGCGAAGCGCGGUUGGGCAGAGCAGAGCCGCGGCAGAGGGAAGGGCACGCGCGCGGCCGACGGUUGGCCAGCCCGGCGUUCGCCCCGUCUUGUCGCAGGCGCGGGUUGGGCGCCGUGGCUCUCACCUUAUCGUUGUCUCGCCGGGGAUAGGGCGCCGGUGAGCUGCCGGUGGCCAGCGGCCACGAGGCACGCGGUGCGCGGGCGAACAUGCCCUGGCGCGCGGGCGUUGAGGCCCCUUCGGGCAGUAAGCCCGACCAGCUUUGAGAGAUCCUAUCUCAAGAUUUUGCAACACAACUUCCAAAACUCUUCUAAACAAACUUGUUCAACUCUGGACGUAGUUCAAACUUGGUUUAAGGUGCUGGUUUAGAUUGUGAAAGGAUUUGGAGAUAUCUCAUGCCAAAGUUUGCCAAAAAUAUGGAAAUCCAGACUUAGCCAAUUUUGGCCGGAGAGGUGGAAUUUCAGGAACUUAGCUAUGUUUGAGUCAACUUUAGGGCAGCUUCCAAGUUGAAUUAGACAGAAGUGUUAAUAGAGGAGUUGCUCUCCAAACUGAGGACUUCAACUUCUAUUUAGGGUAUUUCUGGAGUUUAGUUCAGAAAUUUGGAGGAACGCCCUCGCCAAGAGGUGCACUCUGAGCAGUUUUCCAGACUUAGCGUUGUGGUGCUCAGGGGCUGAGUUGACUGCUUUGCUCAACUUUGACCAAGAUUUUGAACAGGUUCUGGUUCGAUUUGGACCUGGGUCAUUGUAACAAACUUGGAAAACACUUGAGGUAUUACAACCUUUAUUAAGAGCCUGACUUGAGUUUAGAUAUGAAAUCGUGAGAUAAAGGCUUGCAAAGUUGGAGGAAAACUUGAAUUCCACGACUUGGAGGUUUAUAGGGUUCUUUAUUAUUCCGGUUUUGAUUCCUGUUUUUGACUUCCUCCCACUCCGAAUUAGCCAAAGUGACUUUAACAAAUAUUGUUUGAAAUUAAAAGUGUUACAACUCUUAUUUGGGCAAAAUUUUAAGUUUGUAUAUAAAAUCUCAAGUUUUAUUUUAAACUCCAUAAAGAGCUUCUUAGGGUUAAAAUGGUCAUUUCACUUCCUUUACUUAGUGAUUAACCACUGGUUUAUAUUUAAAGCACUUAAUUUAGGUAGAGUUGUUACAAGUAUCCACUCACUACUUUACCAAAUGGGUGCAGGCAGUCCCUCUGAAGACCGUGACGUUGGCCGUCAUGAUUGAAUUCAUAAGCGAGCACAUUAUCUAUUGGUUUGGUAUUCCUCAGACUGUUACGACCGAUCAGAGAACAAUGUUUACUUCAGGAGAGUUUGAGGAGUUCACUUCCGAUAUGGAAAUUAAGUUGUUAAAUUCUUCUCCAUAUUACGUUCAAGCUAAUGGUCAGACCGAAUCGUCCAAUAAAGGGAUAAUCAAGUGUAUCAAGAGGAAGGUAGAGGAGCAACCAAAGAGAUGGCACAUGACUUUAAGCGAGUCUUUGUGGGCCUACAGGAUGGCCUGCCACGGCGCUACUAAGGUGUCUCCUUAUCAAUUAGUGUAUGGAUAUGAGGCGGUGCUCCCUUAGGAAUUGAGGAUGGGGUCUAGACGCACGUCGAUUCAAGAUUAGUUGACAGCCGACGAUUAUUCUCUCCUUAUGAAAGGGGAGCUUGAGGAUUUGGUGGGUCAACGAUUGAGGGCCUUGAUCAGUAUUGAAGAGAAUAAGAAAAGACUUGCCAAGUGGUAUGACAAGAAGGUCAAGGUCAAGCAGUUCUCGCAAGGGGAUUUGGUAUGGAAAUUGGUAUUGCCGAUAGGGUCUAACCAUCCCAAAUACGGCUAGUGGUCGCCUACUUGGGAAGGGUCGUAUAAAUCGAUCGAUAUGUGCCAGGAAAUGCAUACGUAUUAGAGACCAUCGAGGGAGAGGAAUUUACAAGAGCCUUAAAUGGGAGAUAUUUGAAAAGAUACUAUCCCAGCAUAUGAGUGGACGCGUAGCCGAUGAUAUAGUGUAUCGAGUCGUUAUGGCCGAUUCCUAUUGACUCGUGUUUAUAUAGCCGAUGCAGGGAGGCAUCGCCUUGAGGACGAAACCUCUAAUCAAAUUGGCCGAUUAUUAUUCGGUACGGUGAUUGGAUACAUGGCCAACAUGGUACAAGUCGCCCUUAGACCAAAAGUACCAAUACAUCUAUCGGGUUACAAUAUGAUUAACUGCAUUUCAACUGGGCUUUGUUUUUAUUGAUCUCUCUUUGGACCCGGCCUAGUUCUAUUAAGAGACGGGUGCUCUUUUCCUCCCUAUCCGCCAUGGCAUCUUUGAGAGCGACCUGGCAGGGUAGCUGAUGACUCCUCUCAAUUGGCGGCUGAGGUGGCUCCCUGGAGCUGUUGGCUUCGAUGUGAUCCACGAUCUUCUUAAUGUGGGUCGGAAGAUGGUCUUUAAGCUCCUCACGGUGGGCUUUGAUCAGGUCUUGGUCCACCUGCAUCAGUGGUUCCUCAGAGUGCAUAAUUUCGAUAACUCGCUCAAGAUCAGGGCUGAGCCGGGUCGGCUGGACAAACAGCGGGCAAUCAGUUGUCGAAAAGAAUUGGUCAAGGAGCGCAAGGCUGAUCUCAUACCUCAUUGACGGGGGAAGAAGAAGACAUCUUGGCGCCCGGUUAGGGAUCUGAAAAUGGUCGAGCAGAGUGUAGAAGGAUGGAUGAGAUACGAGUGCCUCUGGGAGGAAUGUAGGGACCCCAUAUUUAUAGGAGAAAAGGUAAGGGGCAACGGUUGGCAAAGGCAUCUAUUCAAAGCAGAUGAAUGUUGAGCUAAAAGCUGCGAAGAGGAAACGUUCAAGUCCGUAUUCACACAAUGAUGGCAAAAGGGGCAUUAAAUGUUUGUGCAGAGGUGUUCAAAAGAUAAUUCAAUGUUUUGAUACAUUCAUUCAAGAAGAAUAUUAAUGGCCGCGAUUGCCUACUGGCGGAUCUGAUCCGCUGAAUCUAGAACUCGUUGGACAUCUUCGGCUGAUCCAAGAAUUUCUAGCAUGUUGCGAUGAAGCCGGAUGGCCUCAUGCGCAAGGGUUUGCCUCUCCUGCUUCAGAUCAGCGAUGACGGUCGUGAGAUCAUGAAGAUUAUUCUUUUUGGCGGUUAUAGCCUUUGUCACCUACUCCAUCUCCUUGGCAAUCUCUGCCCUAUGCUAUUUGAGACGGUCUAUUGUGCCGACGAUGUCUGGGCGAGAAUUUUCGAGUACGCCGAUUCGGUGAUGUACCUCUUGAGCUCGGUGUUUGUAGGAAUCCUUCUCUUCACAUGGCUUUGCCAGCUUGGCAUGAACGGCCAUGUGCCGCAGGGCUCUGAACACCGGGAUUUGCAUUGACUCGAUGUAUGUAGGAGGUGCAAGAGCUUUUUCUACAUCCUUCAGGACUCGGCCUUUUAUUUCGCUGAAGAUUUGCCAAAUCGGCGAAGCGUCUUCCACCAAUCGGCCGAUGUCAUCUUGAAGAAGUGCUCGGAUUCUCUGGAGCUUUGCACGUACUUCUUCCGAAAUUGAACCUGGAGCCACUUGUCGAGAGGCUACCUCUUCAUCAUCAGAAACAGCGAUCGCAAAUGAAAAGAGGCUGUUAUUGGGCGUAUCUUGUUCCUAUAAAAGUAAGAGAGGAAGGAACGGAUUAGCCGACAGUAGUGGGAAAUCGGUCGGAUUGGAUGUCGAAGGCCCUUACCUGUUUAAAAUGAAUUUUCUUCUGUUUGUGUUUGGGGGAUUGCUACCCUUGUCUCAGGAAUCAGCAUGGUUGGCUCGUCAGAAGAAGAAGACUCGACGGUGAUCGACGUUGUGUUUGGACCGGCUUCCUGAAAGUAACAAAAGGAGAGUCUCUAUAAGUAUGAAGCAAUAGUUAGAUCUAAGGAUGAGUACCAGUUACUUUACCUCUGUGAGUCGUCCGGCCGAUGACUGUUGGAAAGGUAUGAUUGAUGUACCCAGAGUGGCCUACAUUAGAAAUCGGUCAUUUUUGACUAAGGAAUAAGAGACUUGAGUAAGAUGUAUGUUCUUUACCUCAGCUGCAAGGAUUGCUGGUGGUUCGGUCUCUGCUUGGGAUGCGACCGAUUGCUGUGAGGUUUGCUCCGAAAGAAUUUGCGCAGCCUAACAAAAAGUGGAAAUUAAUACUGAUAGUAUACUUGGAGAAAUGUGAAGCAUAUAAAGUUACCUGAACAUCUUUUACCAAUAAGGAUGCAGCUGCUGAUCCGGCUUCCGUAGCGGCUUGGGGGUCGACCUCCUGGGCGAUCGGCAGAGUUGGUGUGGCUGAAGACUCGGCUGGUGGCACCGCCGAUUGAUCGGCCGGUUCUAUACGGGCGCGCACCCGGCGGCUUGUCUUCUUUGAAGAGGAUAUCUUCAUCUUCUGCUUCAAUCGGCCUGUGAUGAUAUCUUCGAUUGACGGGGACUGAAAGCCGAUGAUUGGAAAUGAAGUAUAUGGGUGGCGAUUCUCUAUCGGCCUGCCACUACAGUUGUGCGUUGGAGAGAGUUGGCUUUCAGACGACAAGAAAUGAGGGAAAUCAGUGGUAAUACUGUAAGAGUACGGUGUCAAAUCGGCCAGAAGGAUUGGUACCUCUGCAUUCGGAUCAAUGUUAGCGGGGUCCAGAUCAUUACAAUAUGUUGUAGGAGAUGUGCAGAAGAGGUGUUGUUUCCACUCACCCCACCAUAGCUUGAAUUGUUGGACAGCGAAGGGGGCCACAACCCAGUUGGCCAAUUCGAUGGUACUGGAAUCCGGCGUCAAGCUGCACAGCUGAUUGUAUUCAAGACCUUUAGAGAGCUCCUCCCGACACUUAACGCGGCCGGCAAAAUAAAUCUUAAUCGGCAUUUGUCUGAGGCCGAAUUGCCGCGCUGCCACUGAUGGGUUGUAGAAUUCAUAGGUUGGGGAGUCUUUUCCUGAGAAGAAGUUUGCUGGUAGGAUCCCAGGCUUGAUCAAAGUAUCCAUAAGCUCAUUAUCGAAGUAAUUGAUGGUUGAAUUGAAGCAGUCGGGGUUUUCAAAGAGUGGCUCAAUUCUCUGAUAUGGGUACCAGCUUGUAGUUUCUUCAUUGAAGCCGAUAUAGAAGCAUCUGAAAUACUCAGUUGUAUUUGUGGGGGUAAACUUGCUGCCAGGAGAAGCUGACGCUACCUCGCCAAGGAAGUGCAACGCCGUCUUAAUGUUGGGUUAUCCUCUGAUUCAAUAUUGGGGAAUGUCUUGGUCUCAACUCGUUCCCUGGAGAUCUUGCUCAUGUAUAAGUUGAGCCAGAUGGUGAUAAACCACCAGGGGCCACCAGAGUUCCCAAUCGGCUCUCCGGAUGACAGCUUGACUGCGAUUUGGUGCAUCAUAUGAUGAGCCAAUCCUAGCAGGUGUUUUCCUAAGGGGAUAGUAGAACCUUUUGCUAGGGCCUCGACCAGAGCCUGUGUAUUGGAGGAGGGGCCAACUGCUUUGCCACAGAAGAAGUGCUUCUCUAACCACAUCAUCAGGAAAGCUGUGUAUUCUCUAUCGCCGAUAGGACCGGUCUUCAUAUUUUUAUCAAUAUAGCAUUUCCACCUGCCGAUUCCCUUUGUUUCCAGGCGAUGGGUUGGUUUGAUCAGGAAAUUGAAGGGCAAGUCGGGGGAAGAGAUGUCAAGACCGGUCAGCAUCAGGACGUCGGCCAAAGUAGGGGUCAUGGGCCCAUGUCCAAAAAGGAAAACAUUGAGAGCGUCAGACCAGAAAUAAGAAGCUGCCAUGACCAAAGGUUCAUUCUUCUCCAUUUGAGACAGAUAUAAGUUUAUGCAUUGGCCGAUUUUUAGUUCAUCCCAAAGAACCCUCUAAGAAUUGGACAUCCUUUGAAACCACUCUUUCCAGCCAAGGGUUUCGUUCGGCCAAGAUCUAAAUGCACCUGUCCACUGGCUUAAAUCCAUUGGUGACUGCUUGAAAGGGAUCAUGUGGGUUUCCAGGUUGAUCAAUUCAGUGGGAUCUAGAUUCCCCAUGGGGCUAAGACCGACGAGGCCGGGUGCGUCAGAAACAGGGAUGGUGAUUUGCUGCCUAAGUUCCUAAAAAGGAUACAAAAGGAGAACUAAGAACAGAUCUAAAAGAUGCGUGAAUGGUGAAAAGUAAAAGUAAAAACUUUGGGAUAUUUACCUCUGGAAUGAAAGCCAUAGUCGCCUAUGGAGCCGCUAUUGGAGUAAACAGAAUAGGAUGGACGGAAGAUGAAGGAGGAAUCACCGUAGGAAUGCAGUUGGAAGAUGAAAGGGUGCCGAAAUGCGAUGGAAGAUGAUUCGCCGGGGAAAAAAGAGUUUCCCAGCUUGUGGAGAAGAAGCGGCGGAGAAUGCAAAUAUUUAAAGAUGGUUCGAGAGAAGGGUAAAGGUGGGAUUUUACCGCGCUGUCUGCACAAAUUUCGGGAAGAGCGGUUGCCUGCGAGCGCCUAGCUCGAAAAUUGUGAUCAUCAGAGAGAAGACCGCAGAACAGAAAGGAGCUUUCGCCGUGCCCGCCUCGGAGGAUGAGUUAGAGUUGAAAAAAAUUUGAAGCAAAAAGUUUCACUCUGAAACUUGGGGGCAUGUGUUGACGCCGGAUUUUGACACGUACUUGAAAUCGGCGUCAAAGAAGGAGAAAGGGGGGCCGAUGCGGCGGACUAGAAGCUACAGUUGGGAAUCGGCCGAUUGAAGCUACAGUGUUUCAGCCGAUUGGUGGAAGAAAUCGGUGGAGGCUGGCCGAUUGAGAGCCAAAGCAGUUUGGCCGGUUUGGGCCUAAGGUGGACCAGGAUGAAGAUUUGCUGAAGAGACAGGCCCGUGGGAAAAUAAUAACCAACUCGAAUAUGAGUCGUGUUUGUAACUAUUUGUUGUCGUUUGAAAUUAGAGAUAGAUUCUAGUCGGUUAUGAAAUCAGUUGCAACAGGCAAUAAUAGCUGCCUCGAGAGGCUUGUAAAAAAAUAACACACAAUCAAUAAAACAAAUUUACUCUUUCCUCGUACUUUACUUUCAAGUCGGCGACUUCGCCAAAACCUUUUUCUUUCACGAGUUCGUACGGAUUGGCAGGGCUGCAUCUACAUGAUCUCCGACCGAUUCUGUAAGUUCCGCUUAUCGAGUAAUAUCUAAGCUUUAACUUCGGGCGCAUCGCUGUUGUUUCAUUUAGAUUUAUUCACUAGUUAUCGAUAUCAACUACAGUCAUAGGUUUUACCUGUUAUUUUAGUUUUUAUCACCAAUUAUCCAGCUUGAGGUACGAGCUAUCGGCUUCUAUUAUUUUUAUCCUUUAUCAUCACAUAGCUGAUUAGAUCUACUCCAAGUGUUGCUUUUGUAGUGUUGUUUAGGUUGCUCUAGAAGUUUUCCUUACGAUUGCUACGUGAGUAUCGGCUGUCUUAUAGCCGGUCAUCUCUAUAGUAAAUCGGCCGAUUCGCUAAUACGCUCUUCAAGACAGAUCGGAACUCUAGCCGAUCGAAACCCCUAAAAUUUAAUAUUCUUCUUUCCUUUGUCAAUCAACAGGUCAGAUUGACUGGCACGCCGCGCGAACCGCACCAGGGCAAUAACCUGAACAGGAGCUAAGCAGAUUCUCCCGGGUCGUGUGUCCGACGCUGAGGGUCAUCGGCCAAUUUUCAGGGCCAACAACAGCUUUUGGGCAAAAGCAUAUAGGACUUUUAGGGGGUGUUUGGCAUGGCUCUAGAGCUGAACUCCGGUAACUCCAGCCAAUUUUCCAGCCAAACACCCUAGCUCCAAAACUCCAUGGAGCUGCAGUGCAAAUGGGAUGGAGUUUUGGCGCACCUCUUUUGUAGCUCCAAAACCACCUAAUAUGAACCUCCUCGUGGAGUUGGUGGGUAAUUAACCAUCAAUGCCACUGAUUAAAAUAAAAAUGAUUCACUUCUAUUUUCUCUCGAGACCCCUCCCCGCGCCGCCCGAGGCCUCCUGAUGCCGCUCUCCUGCGCCGCCGCCUAGCGCCGCCGACAGCUGCUGUCGCCGUCCGUGCCCCGCGUCCUGCGGGCUACCGCCUCGCCAUCCCCAUGAGCCCCCUGCACCGCCGUCAGAGCCGCCAGCCGAGCCGCUGCGGCCGGGUUUCCGCCGUCUUGCCGCCUCUUUCCUCAACUGGAGUGAGCCAUCAGCAGCAGCAGAUUCCCCUCGGCGAGCCACGCCCGUUUCGCCGGUUCCGUUGUCACCCUGCUGCCGGAGUGCCGCCGCCACCGUGAAAACCGCCCGCCCCCCGAUCUCCACCACCACGCUGACCACCUCCGUCCAUGCCCUCCGCCGGUGAGCACACCCGUAGAUUCCCCUCGACCCCCUCUUCCUCUUGCGCCACCUGCCCAAAACACCACCUCGCCGGAGCGCCAGCAAGCUAGCUGGCCAGAGCCCCGGUGAGAGGAGGAAGAAGGAACCUGGCUCUUUUGUGAUUGGGUCCUUGAGGAAAGCUAAAAUCUUUUGCUCUGUUCCUUGCUCCCGGCGAGAGGAGGAAGAAUAGUGGGCUUCUGUGGUGGAGGGCGAGAUCGAACCAGGAGUCAGAAUGUCAAUCUACCCUCAAACUCCUCUUUUCUGGAGUUGGGAACACCCUCCCAACCAAACACCUUCAUCAGACAGCAGGUUGAAAAGAGGCACAUGAGGCUCAGCCGCUUAGGCCCACGGGCAAAAAAAAAAAACUCUUACUUUAUGGCGGAGUAGUUGCUGUUCCAGUGUGCAGGUAAAUUGUCGCAAAUGCCCUCUUGUGGUCGCGUUGCAGUAGCCGAUAAGGCGUCCAAACGUGAGGUGCACACACCUGAUCUGAUCCUCUCAGUGGAAACGGGCCAGGUCCAUGCAACCCAGGACAGGAAGGCUCUAUACCUGGGCCGAACGGUAGCCCAAGAGGCCGACAGUAAGUGAGCUCACGGGUGACGAACGGCCCAGAAGCCGCCCCAAUCCGGCCACCGCCACUGAGCCGGCUCGACUAAACCGGAUCGCCACGCAGCCCGACCGCGCAGGCGUACUUCCCGAACUACCCCCGGAGAUUAUCCAAUCGGACGGCCAAGCGCCACGCACUGCCAAAGAAUUCCCCGAAAUGACCCUACUCUUCCCUUUGCCUCCCUCGCGUGCCGCCGGUUCUGCUCGACCGGACCAGCGGUUCAGGCGCCGAAUAUUCGCCCGCGGAUAUUUCUUGCCCGGUGCGUCAACUCCGCCGCUAUAAAUACCCUCAUAGGGCGGCCGCUAGGGUUUUAGUGCUUCUCUCCCGGCGGCGCCUCCACAUAUCGUCUCUCAGAUCGGGAGGCGAAACCAAGGUGACUGACCUCAUCCCCUUUCUCCUCCCUCCGUCUCUGGUUGCUAUAGCUAUUUCAUCCAUGCGCUGUCCUUAUAGCUGAUUAGUAUUUUUACUAGUGGAGUUCGAGUCGUUUUGGUUCCAUUCAGUAGUGCUUGUGUUGAUUGGAUUGAAUCGGAGGACUCGAAGUGGUUUGUGCUGCUCGAAUCGUAAGUUUGUUGGGCUAAUCUCGAUGGAAUUUAUGUCAAUUCGUUGGUUUAGUGGUCCUUGGCAGUUCUCUCUGUGAUAGGCCCGUCCGAUCUGUAGAGAUGCGGUGGAAUCCUGGUUUACUCAAAACGGUUCUAGAUUCCUCUGUUCUUCCCUUAUUUUUUGUUUCGAUUACUUAGUUUGCACGUUAGGGGCCUAUGAAGUUUAUGUGCUCGGAUCCUUUAGUGAAACUGAUCUGUUUACUCAGAUGUGCUCGGAUCCUUCAGUGAAACUGAUCUGUUUACUCAGAUCUGCUGGUAGCUAACAGGUUCAGGGUAGUUAUGUUGAUGGUCUAGUUUUGGUAGUUUCAUUGUCGAUUUCUGUCCAUUUUUGUCAUGUUCUGUCCAUAAAAAUACUAUCUGUGCUUCUUCAUAUCUUGUAAUAUGAAUUCAUUUGACAAACUAUGCAUUUCUUUUAGAGUGUUUGUCUAAAUUAAUCUUCUGGUAUAUCCCUAUGCCAGUCUGUUAAUAUGUCUGUAUUAUAGUGUUUUGUUUGAGGUGGUAAUGUACAUGGUGCACCCUGCAGUUUUUCAUGUCUAAUAUUGAAUCUCCUUGUUUGCUGUAUGUAUUAAGGAUUAGUUUCACUUCAAAUAGCUUACUGCUGAUGCUUUCUUGUUUGUUUAAUAUGCUGUGUAAUCAUGUUGACCCUGAGGUUUGUAAGAAUUCCUCUUAUUUGAUUAUUGCAUGGAUUAGUGUCCUGAAGGAUAUGGCUCCUUUGUACAAUUAAGAUAAUUCACUUUUUUUUCUCAACUUUUAUAUGCUUACUAGCCCAUUAGGUUGUGUAAACAUUAGAGUGCUUUAGCCUGGUAAAGAUGAGUUAAGCAUUUUAAAUAAAUUUUUGGAUUUGGUUGAUAUCAUCCUUAACACCUGCAUUUAAACAAUUUGUCUCUUUUGAUCCUGACUAUUACAGUGGGUGUUACUUUCUUUAGUCAUUCUGUGGUAUCAAAGUUUCUGGUGUAGUUGUGUAAUUAUGGUUUUGGUUGGAUUCUUACUAGUAUUUUCUACCUUUAAACAGCAGGAAAUUAUAUACAUAUUUGUAGUGUGAUCUUCAUAAGAAGUCAAGAUGGUGAAGUUCACAGCGGAAGAGCUCCGUGCCAUCAUGGACAAAAAGAACAACAUUCGUAAUAUGUCCGUUAUUGCUCAUGUGGACCACGGUAUGUUAAGAACAGUGUUUAAUUAAAUGUUAUGCAUACCUGUUCCUCGACAUUUUUCAGGCUUUUCAAUUUUAGCAAUUGUUUUUUUUCAGUAUUAAAUCUCUGAAUUGUUCUUGCCAGUGAAUGCGAUUCAUGCUGCGUUAGCUAUCACAGACCUAUUUUACAUAUGUAGAAAUAUUCAUUUCAUGUUGGAAAUAGGCUUAUUGUUCUUUUGUAAUUAAUGUAUUGGUUUAUCUCUAGAUAUUGCAGUGUAUAGUAUCUGUUUACUAUGUGUUUUAUAUUGGGAUGUAUUGUUGUCUUUGUUAACUUGUGAGAGGUUGUCUAUCCCUAAUGUUGUACUAUUCUUGAUGCAUCUUCGGACUGACUUUUAAGUUCCACACUAUAGUCUUACAUCUCAUUAAUUCUUUGCAGGCAAGUCUACCCUUACAGAUUCCCUUGUGGCAGCUGCUGGGAUUAUUGCCCAGGAAGUUGCUGGUGAUGUCCGCAUGACUGAUACACGUGCAGAUGAAGCAGAGCGUGGUAUUACAAUCAAAUCCACCGGUAUUUCUCUGUACUAUGAGAUGACUGAUGAGUCACUGAAGAGUUACAAGGGUGAGAGAGAUGGUAACCAGUACUUGAUCAACCUUAUCGACUCACCUGGGCACGUUGAUUUUUCUUCGGAAGUCACAGCUGCCCUUCGUAUCACCGAUGGUGCUCUAGUGGUGGUUGACUGUAUUGAAGGUGUCUGUGUGCAAACUGAAACUGUGCUCCGCCAGGCUCUUGGUGAGAGGAUUAGGCCAGUGCUUACUGUGAACAAGAUGGACAGGUGUUUCCUUGAGCUUCAGGUUGAGGGUGAGGAAGCCUACCAGACUUUCUCCCGUGUCAUUGAGAAUGCCAAUGUCAUUAUGGCAACAUAUGAAGAUAAGCUCCUUGGUGAUGUCCAAGUCUACCCGGAGAAGGGAACUGUUGCUUUCUCUGCUGGUCUGCACGGCUGGGCCUUUACCCUCACCAACUUUGCCAAGAUGUAUGCUUCGAAGUUUGGAGUUGAUGAAACUAAGAUGAUGGAGAGGCUCUGGGGUGAGAACUUCUUUGACCCAGCCACAAAGAAGUGGACCACCAAGAACACAGGCUCUGCUACCUGCAAGAGAGGAUUUGUUCAGUUCUGCUAUGAGCCAAUCAAGCAAAUCAUCAACACCUGCAUGAAUGACCAGAAGGAUAAGUUGUGGCCCAUGCUUCAAAAGCUUAAUGUUACCAUGAAGUCUGAUGAGAAGGAAUUGGUUGGCAAGGCUUUGAUGAAGCGUGUUAUGCAAACUUGGCUUCCAGCUAGUACUGCACUGCUUGAGAUGAUGAUAUUCCACCUUCCUUCCCCAUCAAAGGCACAAAAGUAUCGUGUGGAGAACUUGUACGAGGGACCCCUUGAUGAUAUCUAUGCUACUGCUAUCAGGAACUGUGAUCCGGAGGGUCCUCUUAUGCUGUAUGUUUCUAAGAUGAUUCCAGCAUCUGACAAGGGCAGGUUCUUCGCCUUUGGUCGUGUCUUCUCUGGGAAGGUUGCUACUGGUAUGAAGGUUAGGAUCAUGGGUCCCAACUAUGUCCCUGGCCAGAAGAAGGAUCUGUACGUCAAGAGUGUCCAGCGUAC
rnacentral:lncRNA from 1 species